CUCCUUUUCCUAAUAUGAACCUUGAGUCAUCAAAGCCUUUCUGACCAGCCUGGCCCGAUCACCCUACGUGAUUGGUGCUUCAAAAGACGAAACUCUCAAUCGUAGUUUGGUAGGCCACUCUAUGCGACUGGAACUUCAAAAGACGAAACUUUCGAUCGUAGUUUGGCGACCUAUCUUUAGUAGGGCCUUUAGUCUUUUGAUUAGAGUAGGGGUUGCAAAAAAGCAGAGCGUGCCACUUAGCCAUAGUCACUCAAAAAAUAAAUGAAAUGCCUAGUAACUGAACUAUCAGCUCCAGCAUGUCAUAAAUGACUUGAGGUAGCUAUGAGAAAGAUAUAAAUGGCCAAAUAGUGCAAAAUUUAGAAAAUAAGCUGGAGUGUCAUUAAAACCUUCAACAUGGAGCCUUCCUCUUUUGAACGGUCUUAGAAUGAGAUAAGACAUAGAAAUAUAGAAUUUGCUAAAACUUACAAAUAUAGAAUCUAUACGUUAAAAGGAAGCUAAUGAUACCCAUAUCAUUUAUAUUUAAGAUGGGUCGAAAAUGAGUUAAAAAAAACAGUCUAAAAUGAAAGGACUAAAAUCAGAAUUUUAUUUUAGAAAUAUGUUACCAAGAUUAUAGGAGUCUAAGUUGAAAAUUCAAGUGAAAACGAGUAAAAAAUGAGGCUUAAAUUGAAGGGGAAAAAACCAUUUUAAAGCUUUACUGAUAAAAGUUCUCGUAUUCUAGUUUGAAAUCAUGAUUAAAAGGCAUUUUCAAAGAUAUAAUCAAUAGAAAAUGAAAGAACAAUGAAUUAGAAUCUUACCCAAGCAAGAAUAGUGAGGAAAAAUCCUAGAAAUCGCCUAUUCCUGAAGCUCCAAGUUCAAAAAAUGUUGGAAAUCGCGAAAAAAAAAGAAGCAUUUAUACUGUUCAGUGAAUAAUACUUUGUGAUCGCAAUUCCCACCUCGCGAUCGCGAAGGUGAACAUUCACUAGAACUUAAGUUGGCCACCGUAGAGAGAGACUUUACGACCGCGAUGGUCAAACCCGACUCGGUCCAUCAAUUUACCUAUUGCGAUUGCGGCACCACCACCACGCAAUCACAAUGAAGGAGAUCAUCGAUGUUUGCGGUCAUGACAUGUGUUCAUGCAAUCAGGAUGAAGAACCUGAUGCACCAGAAAAUGCAACAUCAUCAGAUUUUCCAAGUAAAAGAAAUCACUUCGAACGGUCCCUCUCGGGACCCCACAGAAACAAAUCAUAACUGUAAAAGAUUCUGAAUAUUAACCAACCCCUCUACUCACCCAAAAUUGAUGUUCUGUAUCUAAUGAAAAUGUCCAAAUCGCCGUUAGAUACUCAAAUCAUAAAAUAUUGAUUGAAGUCAAAUUCAUGGCUUUCAAAGACUCUAAAAGUCUCCAACUCUGAAAUCAUUUCAGAAUGCAUGGGAGAUUGUGCUAACCAUCCCCACACCUCACAAUCUGCUUGUAACGACUGUGAGAAAAGCCACAAUAAUCAAAACGUACACAUAAAAAUUGAAAAUUUUACAUAGCAGGUUGUUACAAGUAGCAGGGUUAGUAAUUCUAGGACUGCGUCCACAGGUAGGAGACUCUAGCAGGAGAAUUUGGGUGGGGUGGGUGUCUUUAGGCUUGUGAUUGUAUGUUACUACUAGGUGGGUGUCCUAUUUCUUAUUUCUUACUUCCUAUUUCGUAUUUAGUAUUGCUCGUAUUUCUCUUAUUUAGUAUUGCUCGAUCAGGAGGUAACGGGUUCGAGCCUCUGAAACAGUCUCGUACAGAUAUGCAAGGUAUGGUUAUGUACGAGCUAGAACUUUGUUGACCAGGCUGCCCUUCUAUUGGCUUCAACAACAAUUACUUUCCUCAUAAAUCUGUUAUAGUUCUCUGAGUUUACGCCCCUUGUACAGUCAAACAGUGAGAUUUAUUGUAACCAUCUAGCAUACCUGAAAGCAAUUAAUUUAUAUAAUAUUAAGAGGAAUUAACACCUUGCAAACAAUAAUACUAAGAGGAAACAGUGAGAUUUAUUGCAACCAUCUAGCAUUUCUGAAACAAAUCAAGUGCUAAAACAAAACAAAACAACAAUCAUGUGAUUUGGAACAACAGAUUCCAAAUACAUGCUCAACAUGCAAGGAGUUGAAUCUCGAUCUUCUGCAGCAUCCCUACAACAUCUUUCAUGUUUGUCCUUCUUGCCGGAGAUUCAGCGCAACAAUCUAAUGCUACUUUCAUGAUCGAAGCCACAACAUCUAGCUCCUUCUGUAAGUGAUUACCCAUUGGUGUUACCAAGUUGACAUCUACAACGUCCAUUACUGCCUCUGGGAGUGAANNNNNNNNNNNNNNNNNNNNNNNNNNNNNNNNNNNNNNNNNNNNNNNNNNNNNNNNNNNNNNNNNNNNNNNNNNNNNNNNNNNNNNNNNNNNNNNNNNNNNNNNNNNNNNNNNNNNNNNNNNNNNNNNNNNNNNNNNNNNNNNNNNNNNNNNNNNNNNNNNNNNNNNNNNNNNNNNNNNNNNNNNNNNNNNNNNNNNNNNNNNNNNNNNNNNNNNNNNNNNNNNNNNNNNNNNNNNNNNNNNNNNNNNNNNNNNNNNNNGAGAACACCUUUGUAAACAGAGCCAAAACAUCCAAAACCAAUCAGAUUACACUCACUAAGGUCAUCCGUUGCUUGGAGCAGUUCAUAGUAUGAAAUUCUUUCUCGUGUUACCGUAGAAAAUGACUCAGCUUGUUGAAGAGCACUUUUACCUCUUCCAUACCUUGUCCAUAGGAGCACAAAGGCCAUAGUAACAAAUACAACUGCAAUUACGAGCAAAAGAAAAAGAACUAGCAAUUUUUUCCUAUUUGAUCUGUUCUUUGAUGAAGUGGGGCAUGGCAGGACACUAAAUCUUGAAGAACCACACAAUGCUUCAUUGUAGAUGAAAAACAGACUCAAGAGGUUCUUCAAAGGACCUCCCAAGGGUAUUUCAUCAUACAAUUUGUUGACAGAAACAUUGAAAUACUACAAGUUUUGAAGUUUCUCCAAAGACUUAGGAAUGAUUCCAGAUAUAUUGUUAUGAGAAAGGUCUAGGAAUUCCAAUCCUACCAUGUUGCUCAUUGAGUCAGCUAUAGCUCCUUCUAACUUGUUGUGUCUCAAAGAAAGAUACGCCAAAGUUUGCAAGCCUCCAAUUUCUCUAGGAAUUUCAUUUGAGAAUUGAUUCACUGAUAGAUCUAUCAGUGUCGCAACCUUUAGAUUUCCAAUUUUUGGAGGUAAAGAACCUACCAUAUUGUUUGACGAUAAGUCAAGAACCACUAGAUCUUGAAGGUUCCCUAAGCUUGGUGGUAUAUUGGAGCUCAAUUUAUUGGAACCCAGAUGUAUCUCCCUGAGGGAAGUAAUAUUCCCUAAACAAUUAGGAAGAGAUCCUAAAAGUUAAUUUUGACCCAAGUAAAUAUCACCCAGAUGCUGCAAUUUACAUACAUGAUCUCCAAUAAGUCCUGUUAAUUUGUUGUCACUCAAGUUGAAGCGCUGAAGGUUUCUCAAGUUGCCAAUUGAUGUUGGAAUCGAUCCGACCAAGUUAUUUCCAGAAAGAUGAAGGUCUAAUAAACUGCUAAAGUUCCCAACUUCAUUUGGAAUUCGCCCUUUGAUUUUGCAAUUUUUGGCGUAAAAUUUUCUGAGAGAGGUGGAAAGAUUCCCCGUGGCGGCUGGAAGCAUUCCAUUUAGAGUGUUUAAAGAUAGAAAAAGAAGUUUUAAAUUUCUGCAAUAGGUUAAGGAAGUCAGGAAGCUUAAUGAUGAAUCGCUGGUCAAAUUGUUUCCCUCUAAAUUUACUAAUUGUAGAUGAGUCAAAUAUCCAAGUGAGUUGGGAAUCAAGCCAGUGAGUUUGUUGCCUGAAAGUUCUAGAAUAGUAAGUUUUGAACAAUUGGAGAUGGAAUGAGGAAUAGUCCCAACAAGAUUGGUUAAGUUCCUCAGAUAAAGCUCUUCAAUGUUGGGUAUGACAGAACACAUGUUUGGUGGGAGGGUUCCUGAUAGACUGUUGACUGAAAGAGAAAUCACUGUCAGCCUUGAUAUGUUGAAGAUCUCCAUAUCAAGUGAACCACUAAAUCUAUUAUACGGAAGAUAAAGUUCCUCCAACUCAAUGAGAUUGCUUAUCUCUUUGGGUAUUUCACCUGGAAACACACAUAGUGGAUUACUAGUGAGUUGGUUCAAUCUAUUUUUGCAAAGAUAUAAGAGUUGCAUCUUGUUUAAGUUGUCAAUUUCCCAUGGUAGAGUCCACUAAGAUUUUAACAUUUAUAUUGUUGACCAUACGAAAGUAUUAAAAGAAAAAAGAAAAAAAAUAAGUAUAGAAGAUAAAAACAUACCUGUGAAAUCAUUUUUCGAUAAAAACAAUUCUGGAAGUUGUGAACAAUUUGAUAAGCUUGUAGGAAUAUGACCAUGAAGCUUGUUUCUCACUAAAGAAAGCCCUUUGAGUAUUGGGAGACCAUUUCAUAUAAGUUUCAAUGUCUAUUUGUGCACAUCUAAAGUUGGAGGUCAUAGAUGUGAUAUGAAGACAAGUUAAGGAUAUGUUUAUUGUCUAUAUUUUACAAGAAAUUUUAAGAGUAGUUUCGUAUGAACUUUCUUCUAAUAAAAGAAUAUAUAAAAUUGUAAAAGAUCAAAAAUGUACCAAGCCUUGCAACUGUAAAUGUGGUGUCAAAUUUAUUCCUCUAAUCAGUCCAAAAGACUUCCAAGUUGCAUUCUACAAAAGUAAUGUAUAUUAACUAUAUAGAGAAUUUUAUGUGAUAGUAUAAUUAAUUAAUUCUAUUUUCUUUUUAGGUAAUAUAAAACACUGUCAAUUUUAUUUUUAUAAAAAAUUAAAGUCAUAAUACAUAAACAGAACCUUUAAUUUGACACCAAAUUAUAACUAUACCCUUUAACUUUGCUAGUGUAUAAGUAAGCCCUAUAACUAUAUAAAAGUUGAACAAAAAAACACUACAAUUUUGCAACUUACAAUCGUGAAACUCAAUCGCUCCUGUGUGGAUUAGUAAUCCACUCAGCUGCCACCUAAUGAAAAUGACACAUUAUAACUAUGACCUUUAACUUUUCCUGCACAAGUAGGUCUUUUAACUAUACAAAAGCUGAAAAAAAAACACUUCAAUUCUAACUCUGACGCACGUGGUUUUGAGUGUACACAGGCAAUCUUUCAAGGAUUUUUAUCUCCAGAAUUUGAAGAACUAGUAGGUGAUAUUUAAUUUCCAUAAAAUGGGCAAAGAAUGCAAUUUUAGACUUGACUCGCCUUUUCCUUGUUCUGUAGCAAUCUUAUAAUUAUUAUUGUCCUGUAGAUACUGAUUACUUAUAUAUUUAUAAUAUACGCUAAGCUCAAUAUGCUAAAUUGUGCUAAAGUAUUAAUUUCUUGCUAAUGGAGUUUGACGCUUUAAGAACAAAACAAUGCAGUUGGAAAGGAGAGAGGAGAAAAUUUUUGAUGAUGAAUUAUGUAUGAAUCUUGAACUGAAUUUGAAAAAUGAUUUUUGUUUUUAUCGCACUAAAACAAUUUCGCGUAAACUCUUGAUUACUUAUAAUGUUCCUCUCAGCACUAGUGCUAAAUGGUCCAUCUUACACAACUUUAACGCCCUGCAAUUCAGGCUACAAUAUAGACCAUGAUUUCGAUGCGUUGCUAAUCCCAAAGCCAUAAAUCCUAUGCCAAUAUAGCAUGUUAAUUAUUGUGUAGUAGGUGAAUCCGCUCAAGCUUGAAUUUAGACCAUAGAGGUCCUUCAACUCAAGGACGAGUUGAAACUAUUUCGAUCGACUAAGUUUUAGUCGACGUUGUAAAGUGUGUCAGCUUCCAUAGACCAUAACUCUCUUUAUAUAUUGAAUUAGGAAGCCUACUAUGUGUCAAAUGAUAGGUAUUCGAGUUAUCUUUCCAACGAUACCAAUUUGGCUAAAAUCCGACACCCGAGCAAAAAGUUAUGGCCUUUCAAAUUGAUAAGCGUCGCCUAACAAAUCGCCCAUGGCCACUGGAAAGCAUAGGCAAUAGACUAGGCGGCGCCUAUGUAAACAUAGGCAAUAGACUAGGAAGCGCCUAUGCACACAUCUGUGAACAUAGGCGAUAUCCUAGGCGGCGCCUAUGUGAACAUAGGCAACGGGAUGGGCGGCGCCUAUGUAAGGAAUUCUAGUGAUUUAAACACUCCGUGUUGAGGACAAAGUGGUCCUUUUCCACCCUUACUUAGCCCUAAAACACGAGAUUUAGUUCCAAGGACCCCAAAAUACAUAUUAUUUCAUCAAAAGUGCUCAAGAUUAUUCUUAGGGUUUCAAAAUAAAAAACCCAAAUAGAUCAAGAUUUCACCGUAGGUUUUCAAAGAUAAUUACAUAUUUGGAAUCAACAAUCCGCAAGCUUCAAGAAACACCUAAUAUCCUUGGAAAUAGAGGUAUGUGGGGUUAUUCAAAAAUCUCAUGGGUGUAAUUUUUAUUAACAUGCAUGCUUUUAAAUGGGGGUUUUCAAUCAAAUGCUAAUAUCUUGCUUUUAAUACGAUUUCUAAGUCGUUUUCUUUAUGUCAUGGGAAUUGUUUGCCUAUAUACUUCAAUGGUUGAAACCAUGCAUAUGUGAUUUGAAAUUUUCCAUGGAAGUUUGAUAAAUAUGAAUGAUAAAUUGUUUUCAAAUUCCCAUGAUAAUGUUUCGAUACUCCAUAUUAUAUUGUGAUCAACAAAAGAGAGCAUGAAUUUGAAAUUACUAUUGCUCACCACUUGUAAAUGAUGAAGCACCUUGGUUUUUACAUUAUUAUGCAUUUGUGUAUUUGAUAUUGAUGACUUGCAAGUUGGGUAUGACGAUACCCUACACAAUAUGACAUGUGAUUGAAUAAGAUGAAAUUUGAAUGCAUUGAUUUCACAUGAGAAAGGUGGAUGCCCGAAGAAGGCAUUUGAUACACAAGGGCUCAUCGCUGGAAAAACGGUUUUGCCGACACAGAAUAUUGGUACCAGGCUAAGUGAUCUUGUGUACUUGACUUCAUGUCAUUCCCAAAUUGGGACUAUAGGUAGGAGCAGGAGCCAAGUGAUCUUUGGCACUACCAUUGGGUCGAUACACCAUGCUGUGUGAUCUUGUGUGUCUCUCCCUCACUUAUACUCUAAUCUCGGUGGCAACCAAGGUUUGCAAGUUGGUGUAAAUUAUGUAGGGUAUUCCACCUAGCUCAGUUGUAUUUCAUUACUGUUGGGAAAAACUAUUGCAUUACACCCAUGUGCUUUCAAAUGAUUUGAUACAAAAUUGCUUUAUAAUGGCUCUCAACUAUAUUUUGUAAAAAUAUUAUGUUUUGCUUUGAUAUCUCUGCGUGCCAGUACUUUUGUACUGACCCCCUCCCCUCUCCAACCUCUCAUGUACAGAGGCCCAGUCUAGGGGUCAAGAGAACUAGUAGAUCAUUCAGAAAGAGUUGCAGAGACAAGUGGUGAGCCUUCGAUAUUUCGAAAGGUUUUAUUUCCUGCAGUCCUAUCAUCAUAUUCAGUUUUAGGGUCUGCUGGGGGCCUUGUCCCAGUUUUCAGAUAGACAUUGUUUCAGUCAUGUAGUAGAGAUUUCGCAGACGAUUUUUGAGAUGUUGAUUGAGAUUAUGGGACAUUAUUCCCCAUUAUUGUUUUCAUAUGAUUCUUGACCAUGUUUCCGUUAUAUUGUGUUUCUUCUGCAUUACUUCGAUCAUAUGAAUUAGGUGCAUGAUUACCAGAUAGAUAGGGGUGUUUUGGGCCUCCAUGGUUCGAAAUGCUCAUCACGGCCAGUCCUUGGUUCAGGUCGUGACAAACUUUAUAUCAAAACAUGGUUCAUGGUCCCAGGGUGUCUGCGAAAUUGCGUUAGGUAGAGUCUUGUUUAUAGGUGUUUAGCGCGCCAUACUUAUAAGUAGGACGCUGCUAGGCAUUUAGGAAAUAUUUCCCUUCUUUGUGAUUUAGUUCAUGCUUCAGAAUCUGAACUGUCCACUUAUCAAUGAUCACUUAUAUUUCAGAAACACAGUUAUGCCUCCAUGUCGUAUCAUCGAUCAGAAUGCUCAGGCUGAUGAGGUCCAUCCCACCCAUGGGAUGCGGACCCGUAAUAGGGCUCACACUUUUGAAUUUUUCCCUACUCCGAGAGUCCCUCCAGUCCCGACCAGUCCACCUCAGGCUCCGCGGACUAAUUCCAACCAUCCCCCAACUACUCAGGGACAUAUUUCAAAUGCAGAAUUCAGACGGUCUAUUCAUAUGGUGACACAGUUGGUAGCUAACCAGGCUCAAUGAUCGAAAGAUAUUGGUUCUGCAUCUGUUACAUCUGAGGCUAUUAGAGUCAGACAUUUCAUGAAGAUGAACCCACCUAAGUUCACUGUCACCAAGGUGGAGAAAGAUCCACAGGAGUUCGUGGAUGAGAUGGAAAAGAUCUUUAAGGUGAUGCAUAUGGAUGAGGUUGAAGGUGUGGAGCUAGCAACCUAUCAGCUCAAGGAUGUUGCAAAUCAGUGGUAUGCCGACUGGGAAGAUGAAAAAGGUGAAAGUGCUGAGCCCACAGUUUGGGGCAAAUUUGUGGAAGGUUUCCUUGAUCGAUUCUUUCCUCUGGAGUUGAGGGAGGCCAAAGCGGACGAGUUUAUGAAUCUGAAGUAGGGCAGUAUAAGUGUCCAGGAGUACACUUUGAAGUUUAAUAAACUAGCCCACUAUGCACUAGAGUUGAGUAGUAAUAUGAGGGCCCGGAUGAGGAAAUUUGCAUUUGGCCUUACUGAUGACCUUGUACUUGAGUUCCAGGGGGCUAUGUUGAAUAAAGAGUUAGACUUUGCACGACUGACCGUUCAUUUACAUCAAGUAGAAGUGAAGAAGAAAAGGAUUGCAGAAUCUAGAGAGAAAGACAGAUAGGCUAAGAGUUCUAGAUGUGUAGACUAGCACCAGAGUCAGUCGCAGAGUGGUAACUGGGGUAAUAAGUGGUCAAAGAAGAAGAAGUUUUGGAAUAAUGCAUAGUCAGAAGCCAGCGCCCCAGCACCCUGACCAGCGACAGACAGACAAACUCAGAGUUUUCAGACUCUUCAUGGGUCCAAAGCUCUAGGUACACAGUCUCAGGGCAGUGUGGCCCAACAGCAUUGUACUAGUCUGCUGUGUGAGGUUUGUGGAAGGAAUUAUCUAGAGAAGUGAUAGUUUGAGGGAAGAAACUGCUAUACUAGUGGCAAAGUGGGUCACCUUCAAAGAGAUUUUCCAUCUGCUGGAGUAACUGCGGGGGAGGGGGGGACUAAGUCCCAAGCCGCCUCCACAGCUCCUUUUCCUAAGGGUUCCCCUUCAACUGCCGAAAGCAGUCGCAACCGAUUAUACUGUUUGACUAAUCAACAGGAGGUGGAAUCUUCACCAGAUAUUGUCACCGGUAUCUUAUGAAUCUUUUCUCGUGAUGUUUAUGUAUUGCUUCAUCCCGGGUCUACUUUAUCUUAUGUGACCUCUUAUAUGGCUGUUGGUUUCGGGUUUGAGCCCUAAGUUAUUAUAGAACCCUUCUCUAUUUCUACUCCUGUAGGUGAUUAUGCUGUUGCUAGAAGGGUAUAUAGAAAUUAUGUCAUGUAUAUUCAUAGUAGGGAAACUGUGGCAGAACUUAUAGAAUUGGAUAUGAUAGACUUUGAUGCCAUCCUUGGGAUGGACUGGCUCCAUUCGUGUUAUGCCACACUUGAUUGUAGAACCCAAAAGAUCAAGUUUUGUUUUCCGAACAAGACACCAGUUGUAUGGGCAGGGAGUUUUAUGGAACCUAGAGGUCACUUUAUCUCUUAUCUUAGAGCCCGAAAGCUUAUCUCUAAAGGCUAUAUGUAUCAUCUAAUCCGAGUAAAAGAUUCAAAAGUUGGAAACCUUCCUCUGCAGUCAGUCCCUGUAGUGAAUGAAUUCCCAGAACUCUUUCCCGAAGAUCUCCCAGGGAUUCCCCCGAUAGGGAGAUAGAUUUUGGCAUUUAUGUGUUGCCAGACACUCAUCCUAUUUCUAUUCCGCCAUAUAGAAUGGCUCUCGUAGAACUAAAGGAGUUAAAGGAACAGCUUGUAGACCUCCUAGACAAAGGUUUUAUUCGUCCAAGUGUUUCCCCAUGGGGUACACCCGUGCUUUUCGUGCGAAAAAAGGAUGGGUCCCUUCGGAUGUGCAUAGACUACCGUCAGUUGAAUAAGGUCACAAUUAAAAAUCGACAUCCUUUUCCUACGAUUGACGACCUUUUUGACCAGCUUCAAGGUGCCAAGUUCUUUUCAAAAAUAGACCUUCGUUCGGGUUAUCAUCAGUUGGCAGUUAGGGAGUCAGACAUAGCCAAGACAGCCUUCCGAACCCGAUAUGAUCACUACAAAUUUCUAGCCAUGUCCUUCAGGUUGACUAACGCCCCAACAGCCUUUAUAGAUCUUAUGAAUACAAUGUUCUGUCAGUUUCUUGACUUGUUAUUCAUUGUAUUUAUUGAUGAUAUUCUGAUCUAUUCUAAGAGUAAAGAGGAUCACGCCAAUGUAACUCCCCGAAAAAUGGGUCCCGAAGCGUCACACGGUGCAUGAGGCUAUGAGUAGCCCCAAGCCAACCCUUUGAGCCAUUUUCAUUCAAUUCAACACAAAUCAACGGUGUUUCUAUAAGUAACCCUCAAAUAUAAAAAGAGUAAUCAUCAUUCAAGAAUAAAAGAAUUUCAGAAAGAUAACAGAAUAUGAAUUAUUAGUCAACUCCCAACAACUAUUCUAGUCUGACAAGCCUCUAAGAAAAUCAAUAAAGCCAGCGAGCCAUUGAGACAUGCCCCAACUGACUCAUACUCAGUUAUCAAAUGUAAAAAAUUUCGUGAAACCAACAUCAAACAUCACGUCCUCUGAACAUGAGGACUCACCACAACAUAGGAUGUAGAACAGCGUGCCCGAAGAAUCACUGUCGAAUCUGGAACUGAGCACCUGAACCUACAUUCCGAGAAAAUGCAGCCCAUAUCUGAAGAUGUAGGUCAGUACUAGGAAAAGGAACCGAGUAUAUGGGGGUGUAUGCAGUUGUAUAAACAUCAUCAUCAUAAAUAUUUAUAAGAAAUAUGCAGGAUGUAUGAAAGACUCGCAUAGCCUGAAGAAAAUCAUCCUAAUCAUUAGAGGAUGAAAUAAGUACAAUAACACAUGUGAGUCAUCAUAUAAUUUGUCAAUCAUUUUCAGUUCAUCAAGAAUAUCAAUUAUCAUAAUGUAAAUAUCAUUUAAAUCUUUCAAAAGAAUAACUUUCACAAUUCCACUUUCAAAUCGCUUCACCAUUCACCAUAGACACAAGGAAACACACACACACUGGGAGAUCCUAUAACCGACAUAAACCAUGUGAGCUACAUGGAGCCCAACGUACAACCCACGUUGGGGAGAGCCGUCCUAUCCUUNNNNNNNNNNNNNNNNNNNNNNNNNNNNNNNNNNNNNNNNNNNNNNNNNNNNNNNNNNNNNNNNNNNNNNNNNNNNNNNNNNNNNNNNNNNNNNNNNNNNNNNNNNNNNNNNNNNNNNNNNNNNNNNNNNNNNNNNNNNNNNNNNNNNNNNNNNNNNNNNNNNNNNNNNNNNNNNNNNNNNNNNNNNNNNNNNNNNNNNNNNNNNNNNNNNNNNNNNNNNNNNNNNNNNNNNNNNNNNNNNNNNNNNNNNNNNNNNNNNNNNNNNNNNNNNNNNNNNNNNNNNNNNNNNNNNNNNNNNNNNNNNNNNNNNNNNNNNNNNNNNNNNNNNNNNNNNNNNNNNNNNNNNNNNNNNNNNNNNNNNNNNNNNNNNNNNNNNNNNNNNNNNNNNNNNNNNNNNNNNNNNNNNNNNNNNNNNNNNNNNNNNNNNNNNNNNNNNNNNNNNNNNNNNNNNNNNNNNNNNNNNNNNNNNNNNNNNNNNNNNNNNNNNNNNNNNNNNNNNNNNNNNNNNNNNNNNNNNNNNNNNNNNNNNNNNNNNNNNNNNNNNNNNNNNNNNNNNNNNNNNNNNNNNNNNNNNNNNNNNNNNNNNNNNNNNNNNNNNNNNNNNNNNNNNNNNNNNNNNNNNNNNNNNNNNNNNNNNNNNNNNNNNUUUAAUAUAGGGUUUGGAUGGAUUUUGGGUGAGGGGGAAUGACCAAAAUGCCCCUAAAAAUUAAAAAAAUUCUCGAAUCUGUUCUUUGGUGGACUAUUUUGAUAGUCUAAAGUAGAUCAACCAUAACGUUUUACUCCGAUAUCCAAUUUGGAUGAAGCCAAUUUCAUUAGAAAGAGGAAUCUCAUAUAUUUCCAUUGAUAUAUAGUAUCUCACCCAGAUCAUUGUGUACGAGGAGUUAUGAUCGUUUGAAGUUGACCCAAAAAUUCACUUUUGAUAGGUUGAAGUAGAUUGACCAUAACUUUUUUCUCCGAUAGACAAAUUUGAUGAAACCAAUUUCAUUGGAAAGAGGACUCACAGAGAUUUAUGUUGAUAUAUAGUAGAUUACCCUGAUCAUUAUGUACAAGGAGUUAUGAUCAUUUAAAGUUGGAGCAAAAAUACGCCAUGCCUCAGUACUUUUUCCACGUUCUACUGUUCACUACUAUUCACGGUUCGAUCGGAAUUUUCAUAAUUCGUCGCUCGAGUGUCUGUUUUGGAUGAUCCAUAUAUCGUUGGAAAUCUUAUUCGAUACUCUACGCAAUGCUGGUUUAUAAUAUAAGACAUUCCAUAUGGAAAAUUUAUAAUUCAUUCUAGAAGAUAUAACCCAACACGUUUACGCAUAAAAUUUCAACGAAAAAUUUCCUGGGGUAUUACAUCAUCCCCCCUGGAAACUUUCAUCCUCGAAUGACGCUAGACAUGCUAAGAUUAGAUAGGGAAUAGAGUAUACAGCUGAAACCAUUCAUUAGACUCAUCACCAUAUCGUUUCUCACUCCGAAUGCAACAUAGAAAGCAUAAAUUCAAGAAACUACAGCUGAACACAUAAUAAAUGACAGCUGAAUUGCUGCAAAUUUUAUCAAAAGUGCAUGAUUUAGGAAAUAACGGUACCUUCGGUUUGAUCGGAGUUCGUGGAGAAUAGGUGCGGGUACUUGGAUCGUAUAUCCGCCUCAACUUUCCAAGUUGCACCCUCAACAGAUUGGUUUCGCCGCAACACCUUGACCAAGGAAACUUCUUUGUUCCUUAGUCUUCGGACAGUGAAAUCAAGAAUCUCAACAGGAAUCUUAUCAAAAGAAAGAUUUUCUUGAAUGUCAGCACUCAUAGAGGAAUCCACUACCACAGCAUCGCUAAUAUGCUUUCUAAGUAUGGAGACAUGGAAUAUUGGAUGAGCAGGGGACAACUCGGAAGGCAACUCGACCUCAUAAGCUACCUUACAAACACGGCUAAGAAUUUUGUAAGGACCAACAUAACGGGGACUAAGCUUCCCCUUCUUUUCGAAUCUCUUCACCCCUCUCAUGGGUGAAAUUUUUAGAUACACUAGGUCACCAACUUCAAAUUCAAGGUCUCUCUUUCUAACAUCCGCAUAUGACUUCUGACGACUCUGCGCAGUUUUCAACCUUUCCCUAAUCAACUUAACUUUUUCCAUAGCUCAAAUACCGAAUCAGGACCAUUCACAGCCGCUUCACUCACCUUGAACCAACCUAUGGGUGAUCUACAUUUCCUCCCAUAUAAGGCUUCAAAUGGAGCCAUGCCAAUACUAGAGUGGAAACUGUUAUUGUAAGCAAACUCUAUCAACGGUAAGUGGUCAUCCCAACCUCCCUUAAAGUCAAGUGCAAAAGCUCUCAACAUAUCCUCUAAGGUCUGGAUGGUCCGCUCAGCCUGACCAUCGGUCUGCGGAUGAAAAGCAGAACUCAAAAGCACUUGGGUACCAAGACCCUUCUGAAAAGCUUUCCAAAAUUGCGAAGUGAACUGAGCACCCCUAUCCGAAAUGAUAGACAAGGGAACUCCAUGCAGUCUGACUAACUCUCAGAUAUACAAUCUAGCGANNNNNNNNNNNNNNNNNNNNNNNNNNNNNNNNNNNNNNNNNNNNNNNNNNNNNNNCAAAUGGAAUCAUGAUGACGUCGGGAAGGAGGUAAACCAAUCACGAAGUCCAUAUUUAUCUCUUCCCACUUCCAGGUGGGAAUACUAAACUCUUGCAUCAUACCACCAGGUCUUUGGUGUUCAACCUUAACCUGUUGGCAUGUUGUACGCUUACCUACAAACGCUGCUAUAUCUUUCUUCAUGUCACUCUACCAAUAGAUUUCCCGCAAGUCUCGGUACAUCUUGUUAGGACCAGGAUGAAUAGAAUAUCGUGCCCCGUGCGCUUCAGCCAUAAUCCUCUGUCUCAUAUUAUUAACAUUUGGGACAAACAAUCUACCCUGCAAUUUCAACACACCAUCUCCCCCUUGGGAGAAAAUCUCUACUUUUUGGUCCUUGACUGACUCCUUCAGUCUGACCAAACUAGCAACUAAGUAUUGUUUUUCCUUCACUUCCGAAACCAAGGAGGAUUCAGAACUACUCUGAACCCCUAUACUACCUUCAGCAGAGUCAAACAACCUAACCCCCAAUCUAAGCAAAUGAUGUACAUCACGAGUCAGCUCUUUCUUACCUUCUAUCACAUAUGAAACACUAUCCAUGGACACUCUACUUAGGGCAUCCGCCACAACAUUGGCCUUGCCCGGAUGGUACAACACACUCAUAUCAUAGUCCUUUAACAAUUCUAACCAUCAUCUCUUUCUAAGAUUUAAUUUUCUCUGGGUAAACACAUACUGCAGACUCUUAUGAUCAGUGUAAACAUCAACAUGGACACCAUACAAAUAGUGUCUCCAGAUUUUCAAAGCAAACACAAUAGCAGCCAACUCAAGGUCAUGGGUGGGGUAAUUUUUCUCAUGGGGUUUCAACUGUCUAGAAGAAUAAGCUAUCACCUUACCCUUCUGCAUCAAUAGGCAACUCAACCCAACUCUCGAAGAAUCACAGUACACCACAAAACCAUCAACAGCAUUAGGCAAAGUUAAAACAAGGGCUGAAGUGAGUCGAGUCUUCAACUCCUAAAAACUCUUCUCACAAGAUUUGGACCACAAGAACUUUACUUUCUUUUGGGUCAACUGAGUCAUAAGAGACGAUAUAGAGGACAAACCCUCAACAAAAUGGUUGUAAUAUCUAGCUAAACCCAAGAAACUUUGGAUAUCAGUCGGAGAAAUAGGUCCAGGCUAAUUUCUAAUAGCUUUGGUCUUUUGGGGAUCAACUCUAAUACCCUCUAAAGAAAUGAUAUGACCCAGAAAACCAACUGACCUUAGCCAAAACUCACACUUACUAAAUUUGGCAAAAAACUUGUGAUCUCUAAGAAUUUGUAAGACAGUUCAGAAUGAUCAGAAUGUUCAUCCUCACUACGGGAGUACACCAGUAUAUCAUCGAUGAACACUAUGACAAACAUAUCCAGAUAUGGUCUGAACACUCGAUUCAUGAGGUCCAUGAAAGCUGCUGGGGCAUUAGUUAACCCGAAAGACAUAACAAGAAACUCAAAAUGGCCAUAACGAGUUCAGAAAGUGGUUUUUGGGAUGUUACACUCCCUAACUUUGAGUUGAUGAUAGCCGAAACGAAGGUCUGUCUUUGAGAAAUAACUUGCACCUUGCAAUUGGUCAAACAAAUCAUCUAUUCUUGGAAGAGGGUACUUAUUUUUAUGAUGAUUGUAUUCAGUUAGCGGUAAUCAAUGCACAUGUGCAAAGAGCCAUCUUUCUUUCUCACAAACAAUAUAGGAGCACCCCAAGGAGAAACAUUGGGACUUAUAAAACCCUUAUCUAGUAGAUCUUUGACUUACUCUUUCAACUCCUUAAGUUCUGUAGGGGCCAUACGGUAAGGAGAAAUAGAAAUGGGCUGAGUAUUAGGAACAAGAUCAAUCCUGAACUCUAUCUCUCUAUCAGGAGGUAUCCCUGGAAGAUUAUUCAAAAAGAUAUUAGAAAACUCAUUAACGAUAUUAACAGACUGGAGAGUUGGAGUCUUAGACUUAAUGUCUUUGAAUCUAACCAAAUGGUAAAUACACCCCUUGGAAAUAAGCUUUCUACCUUUGAGGUAAGAGAUAAAAUGAAUCUUAGGUGACACAGAAUUCCCAGACCACUUAAACACGGAUGCACCCAGAAACUGAAACUUUACCACUCAGGUCCGACAAUCAAUAGAGGCAUGAGAAGAAUAUAGCCAGUCCAUACCCAGAAUCACAUCAAAAUAUACCAUGUAUAACUCAUUCAGAUCAGCUAACAAGACUCUAUGAAGAAUAGUAACAGGACAUUUUUUAUACACUUUCUGGGAAACAAUCGAAUCACCCACUGGGGUAGAAACUAGGAUAGGCUCAGGAAUAAUCUCAGGACUCAUUUCAAAAUUCACAGCAAUCAAAGGUGUAACAUAUAAGAAACUGGAUCCAGGAUUCAACAAAGCAUACACAUCAAACUGAAAUAUAUAAAGCAUAUCAGUAAUAACAUAAGGAGAGUCCUCAUAUUCCUGGCGGGAUGGUAAAGCAUAGAAUCUAUUUUGGUGCUUCCCGCCAGAAUUGCUAGAAGAGGCGCCCUGAGCUAGGACUGGGUGAGUCAUUAGAACUGGAGCACUAACAGUCUGAGUCUGGGUCUGAGGGCGAUAGUCACGACGACCUUGUCCAUCCUGUGGACAAUCUCUAAAUCUAUAACCCAUGUCACCACACCAGAAACAACCCCUCUUAUUACCCCAACACUCACUCUAAUGAUCCCUACCACACUUAGAACACAGGGGACGAUUUAGCUUACUGCCAGUACUAUAUUGGGACCUGGAUGCAUAUGACCAGCUACCUUGCUCCUGCCUACCUCUAAGUAUGGAAGCACUAGCAGAUGACGGUGCUGGCAUAGACGAAUAAUCCUGAUACUGUGGGUGACUCCCUCCCUGUGAUAUACUCUGACCAUGUCCGUGCUGCUCGAACCUAGCUCUCUUAUUCCCUCUCAUUCUAACUUUAUUCUUAAUCUUGUCUACCUCAAUUUGUUGGGCAUGAGUCAUCAACCUAGAAAGAUUCAUCUCACUAUACAGCAUAGCAGACCUACACUUCUUAACCACAUAACUAGACACUCUAGUCACAAACUUACUCAUACUAGACCAAUUAUCAACCACUAAGUCAGGAGCAUACUUGGCAACCUAAUUGAACUUUAGAAAGUACUCCCUAAAAGUCAUAGAGCCCUAUCGCAGGUUCAUAAACUCUUCCACCUUCGUCUCCCUCAUCUCCAAAUGGAAAAACUUAUCCAGGAAUGCAUCCUUGAACUCUUGCCAAGUUGUAGGGACAGCUCCUUCACCUCUACCUUUCCUCCAAGAAACAACCCAGUCAUAAACAAGGUCUUUUAACCUAUACGCAACCAACUCCACGCUAUAUUCAUUAGAUACAUGCAUCACCUGAGUAAUCUUCUGCACCUCCUCUAAAAACAACCGUGGAUCCUCAUCAGACUUGGACGUAUAGAAUUCCAGUGGAUUCAUCCGCGUAAAAUCAUAGAUCCUGGAAGUAGCUGAAUCACCUCCCUGCUGCUGUAGAGCCGAGGCCGAGUUGGCCUAAACAUUUGCAGUAACAGCUUAGGCCAGCGCCAGAAACGCUGCCCAAAAUUUAGUAUGAGACACGUUUUCAUUCCAUGGGUCAGCGGGUUGAGGUUGCUGACCAUCAUUAUUUCUUCUCACUCGACGUGGAGGCAUAUUUCUAAAAGAAGAGAGUGCAAAUCAAUAGCAGAGAGAGACACUUAAAGCACGAUAGACUUCUAAAAGAAAGAAUUAAACUUUUUCCUAAAACAUCUUGUAACCUCUUGCUCAUAGAUGUGGCGCGGUACCCACCAAUGAUCAAGACUCUACUUAACGCGGCUUGUUAGACUCCCUAGGAUACCUUAAAACCUUAGGCUCUGAUACCAAGUUUGUAACGCCCCAGAAAAUGGGUCCCGGAGCGUCACACGGCGCUUGAGGCUACGAGUGGCCCCAAGCCAACCCUUUGAGCCAUUUUCAUUCAGCUCCACACAAAUCAAUGGGGUUUCAUAAGUAACCCUCAAAUAUCAAUAGAGUAAUCAUCAUCCAAGAAUAAAAGAAUUUCAGAAAGAUAACAAAAUAUGACUUAUUAGUCAACUCCCAACAUCUAUACUAGUCUGACAAGCCUCUAAGAAAAUCAAUAAAACCAGCAAGCCAUUGAGACAUGCCCCAACUGACUCAUACUCAGUUAUCAAAUGUAAAAAAUUCCAUGAAACCAACAUCAGACAACACAUCCUUGGAACAUGAGGACUUACCACAAUAUAGGAUGUAGAACAGCGUGCCCGAAGAAUUACUGUCGAAUCUGGAACUGAGCACAUGAACCUAUAUUUCGAGAAAAUGCAGCCCACAUUUGAAGAUGUGGGUCAGUACUACGGAAAGGAAUCGAGUAUAUGGGGGUGUAUGCAGUUGUAUAAACAUCAUCAUCAUAAAUAUUUAUAAGAAAUAUGCAGGAUAUAUGAAGGGCUCACACAGCCUAAAGAAAAUCAUCAUAAUCAUGAGAGGAUGAAAUAAGUACAAUAACACAUGUGAGUCAUCAUAUGAUUUGUCAAUCACUUUCAGUUCAUCAAGAAUAUCAAUUCUCAUAGCGUAAAUAUCAUUUAAAUCUUUCAAAAGAAUAACUUUCACAAUUCCACUUUUAAAUCACUUCACCAUUCACCAUAGACAUAAGGAAACACACACACACUGGGAGAUCCUAUAACCGACAUAAACCAUGUGAGCUACAUGGAGUCCAACGUACAACCCACGUUGGGGAGAGCCGUCCUAUCCUUGCCAUCGGAGUAGGACUAUCGAUAUCAAAUCCACACAAACUAGUGAGCCGUCCUAUCCUUGCCAUCGGAGUAGGCUCACUCCUACGGGGGGGCAUGUAGUUCUAGGGAAGUAAGGUUGCUUUUUACCUCCCACCCAGUGCUAAAGAUUUCUCCCGGACUUAGCUCAGAUCAUUUCAAAGACAAUCCACAACAAAACAAUUUCAAUAAUAUAUAAAUAUACAUCGGGAGCCAUCAUGCUUCUCAUCUAUCAAAAUCAACCACGUUGUGGAUUUCUUUCACACUCGAGUUCAAAACAACUCCAUUAAGACCAAAAGGUCAAAUCAUUCAAAAUAUCUCAAAUAUGCAACAUCAACGUGCUUAUAACACACACUUUCUAAAAAAAAACACAAUUUUCAAUGGGGAUUCACGACCCAAAUAUCAAAUCAUGAUAACAUAUAAUGCUUCUAAUAGGCUUUAAUAUAGGGUUUGUAUGGAUUUUGGUUGAGAGGAAAUGACCAAAACGCCCCUAAAAAUCAAAAAAAUUCUUGAAUCUGUCCUUUGGUGGACUAUUUUGAUAGUCUGAAGUAGAUCAACCAUAACGUUCUACUCCGACAUUCAAAUUGGAUGAAACCAAUUUCAUUAGAUGAGGACUCUCAUAUAUUUCUGUUGAUAUUUAGUAUCUCACCCAGAUCAUUGUGUACGAGGAGUUAUGAUCGUUCGAAUUUGAUCCAAAAAUUGACUUUUGAUAGGCUGAAGUAGAUCGACCAUAACUUUUUUCUCCAAUAAAAAAAUUUGAUGAAACCAAUUUCAUUGGAAAGAGGACUUGCAAAGCUUUCCGUUGAUAUAUAAUAGAUCACCCAGAUCAUUAUGUACAAGGAUUUAUGAUCAUUUAAAGUUGGAGUAAAAAUACGCCAGGCCUCAGUACUUUUUCCUGCACGUUUUACUGUUCACUACUAUUCAUAGUUCGAUCAGAAUGUUCAUAACUCGUCGCUCGGGUGUUCGUCUUGGAUGAUCCACAUAUCGUUGAAAAGCUUAUUCAAUACUCUACGCAAUGGUGGGUCAUAAUCUAAGAUAUUCCUCACAGAAAAUUUAUAAUUCAUUCUAUAAAAUAUAACCCAACACGUUUACGCAUAAAAUUUCAACGAAAAAUUUUCUGGGGUAUUACAGCCAAUCACCUCCUAAUUAUCCUUUAGACCCUUAAGGAUCAUCAGUUGUAUGCAAAAUUUUCUAAGUAUGAAUUUUGGUUAGACGGGAUUGCCUUCCUGGGGCAUAUUGUGUCCAGUGACGGGAUAAGAGUGGAUCCCCAGAAAGUUGAAACAGUGAGAAAAUGGCCCAGGCCCACGACUCCAACCGAUAUUCAAAGCUUCUUGUGUUUUCCGGUGUAUUACAGAAGGUUCGUAGAGAGUUUUUCUUCCAUAGCUGCUCCGCUUACUAAACUGACUCAGAAAAAGGUGAAGUUUGUGUGGUCUGACUUGUGUGAAAAUAGUUUUGAGAAAUCGAAGGACAAGAUGACUACUGCUCCUGUUUUGACCCUUCUCGAGGGUGUAGAUGAUUUUGUCGUUUCUUGUGAUGCGUCCCGUGUAGGACUUGAUUGUGUAUUGAUAUAACGUGGUAAGGUGAUAGCUUAUUCAUCUAGGCAGUUAAAGGUGCAUGAGUGGAAUUACCCCACUCAUGAAUUGGAGUUAGCAGCCGUGUUGUUUGUACUUAGAAUCUACAGAAAUUAUCUCUAUGGAGUGCAUGUUGAUAUUUAUACUGACCAUAAGAGUUUACGGUAUGUUUUCUCACCGAAAGAAUUGAACCUCAGGCAGAUUCGUUGGAUGGAGCUUUUGAAAGACUACGAUAUGAGUAUGCAUUACCAUCCGAGCAAGGCAAAUGUUAUAGCCGACGCCCUUAGCAGGUUGUCUAUGGGCAGCCUUUCUCAUGUAAAAGAAGGAAAGAAAGAGAUGGUGAAGGAUAUUCACCGCCUUGCAAAUCUGGGAGUGCGACUCUUAGAUUCCGAAGAUGGAGGGGUGAUUUUUCAUGAGUUAGCUAAGUCAUCUCUUUGUGCUAAAGUUAAGGAGAAGAAGGUUGAAGAUCCUAUCUUGAUGCAAAUCAAGAAAGAUGUGGGUCAAUAAAAGGUUAUGUCAUUUGAAAUUGGUGGCGAUGGUAUUCUAAAAUUUCAGGGUAGGUUGUGCGUUCCGAAUGUCGAUGGGCUACGGGAUAGAAUCCUUAAUGAGGUGCACACUUCGAGGUAUGUCAUUUACCCAGGCUCUACUAAGAUGUACCAUGAUCUGAAAACCUUGUAUUGGUGGAAUAAGAUGAAACGUGAUGUAGCUUAUUUUGUGUCCAAGUGUUUGAACUGUCAGCAAGUAAAGGUUGAACACAUGAGGCCGGGUGGUACUUCCCAAGAGAUAUCCCUUCCUUUAUGGAAGUUGGAGAUGAUAAAUAUGGACUGCAUUAUAGGACUUCUGAGAUCCCGAAACCAGUAUGAUUCUAUAUGAAUGAUUCUAGAUCGGUUGACCAAGUCAGCACACUUUUUGCCUGUGAGGACUAAUUAUUCGAGAGAGGUUUAUGCUAAGAUUUACAUUGAGGAGAUAGUUCGAUUGCAUGAGGCACCAGUGUCCAUUAUAUCCGAUAGAGGUACACAGUUUUCAUCUCAGUUUUAGAGAUCCUUUCAGAAGUGUUUAGGUAUAUAAGUGAAUUUGAGCACAGCUUUCCACCCUCAGACGGAUAGGCAAGUUGAGCAUCCCAUUCAGACCCUUGAAGAUAUGUUGAGGGCAUGCAUCAUUGAUUUCCAAGGUAGUUGGGUAGAUCACCUGCCACUGGUUGAAUUCGCUUACAAUAAUAGCUACCAUGCGAGCAUCAAGAUGGCUCCUUUUGAGGCUUUGUAUGGGAGGAGAUGUAGGUCUCCGAUAGGAUGGUAUGAAGUGGGUGAGACUCAGUUGUAUGGGCCUGAUCUUGUUCAUCAGGCGAUGGAGAAAGUGAAAAUCAUUAGAGAAUGACUCAAGACUACUCAGAGUCGUCAGAAGUCCUAUGCCGAUGUUUGGAGAAGAGAACUAGAGUUUGAAAUUGGUGAUUGGGUAUUUGUCAAGGUUUCUCCUAUGAAAGGGGUUAUGCGAUUUGUAAAAAGUGGUAAAUUGAUCCCUCGUUAUGUAGGGACAUAUUAGAUUUUGAAAAAAAAUUGGUACAGUUGCAUAUGAGUUAGAAUUGCCUGCAAGUUUGGGUUUCGUUCAUCCGGUAUUCCAUGUGUCCAUGUUGAAGAAAUGCAUUGGAGACCAUUCUAUGGUAUUGCCAGUAGAGGGUAUCAAAGUGAUACACUCCUUGUCUUAUGAAGAAGAGCCCGCUGAGGAGAAAAGAGAUAGCCUAGUAAAGGUACUGUGGAGGAAUCAGAAAGUCGAAGAAGCAACUUGGAAGUCAGAAGAUGACAUAAGAAUUAGAUAUCCCAAUUUGUUUGCUUCGAUGGAGGAGGUGACAGAAGGUACUAUUCCUAUUUUAUAUUUCCUAGUCCUUUAUUAUGCUUGAAAUCGUGUCUAUCUGUGUCCCGCAUCAUCAUUCGGGUACGAAUGAUCCUAAGGGGGAUAAUGUAAAGCCCCGCAAUUCGGGCUACAAUGUAGACCAUGAUUUCGAUGCGUUGCUAAUCCCGAAGCCAUAAAAUCCUAUGUCAACACAGCAUGUUAAUUAUUGUGUAGCAUGUGAAACUGCUCAAGCUUGAAUUUAGACCAUAAAGGUCCUUCAACUCAAGGACGAGUUGAAACUAUUUCGAUCGACUAAGUUUUAGUAGACGUUGUAAAGUGUGUUUGAUUCCAUCGACCAUAACCGUCUGUAUAUAUUGAAUUAGGAAGCCUACUAUGUUUCAAAUGAUAGGUAUUCGAGUUAGCUUUCCAACGAUACCAAUUUGGCUAAAAUCCGACACCCGAGCAAGAAGUUAUGGCCCUUCAAAGUGAUAAGCAUCGCCUAACAAAUCGCCCAUGGCCACUGGAACGCAAAGUCAAUAGCCUAGGCGGCGGCUAUGCAAACAUAGGCGAUAGCCUAGGCGGCGCCUAUGCAAACAUAGGCAAUAGACUAGCAGCGCCUAUGUGAACAUAGGCAACGGGAUGGGCGGCGCCUAUGUAAGGAAUUCUAGUGAUUUAAACACUCCAUGUUGAGGACAAAGUGGUCCUUUUCCACUCUUACUUAGCCCUAAAACACGAGAUUUAGUUCCAAGGACCCCAAAAUACAUAUUCUUUCAUCAAAAGUGCUCAAGAUUCUCCUUAGGGUUUCACAAUAAAAAACCCAAAUAGUUCAAGAUUUGACCAUAGGUUUUCAAAGAUAAUUACAUAUUUCGAAUCACCAAUCCGCAAGCUUCGAGAAACAUCUAUUAUCUUUGGAAAUAGAGGUACGUGGGGUUAUCCAAAAAUCUCAUGGGUGUAAUUUUAAUGAACAUGCAUGAUUUUAAUUUGUCUUUCGUGAUUAAGUACGUGCUUGGUACUAGAACGUCAAGACAACAUUAAAAAAAUAAUAGUCAUGACUUAAGACAUCGACAAGCACUUUAAGUUAUCUUGAAAAUUCACUUAGACCCCUCAACUUAAACUUGUACCUAUUGAAUACCUUUACUGCUGGUCUUGUACCCAUUGAAUACUUUUACUACUUGAAUUUAAACCAUUUAAACACAUUUUUAACAAUAACCUAUAAAUGUAAAGUAUGUGUAGUGCAAUUGUGACGUCGCAAUACAAAAAAUUAAAUGAUGCCAUUUGGCAUGUGAAUCCAAAAACAUAUUAAAAAAAUAACAAUGGUGACAAUUUACAUUUUUUAUUAAAAAAGAAAAAGAAAAUCAAGUUUUUCCCCUACUUUCUCCAAUUCUGUAAAAAAAUUCCAAAUUUUUUUAGCAAUCCAAUUCAUAUUUAUUGCUAUUUUUCUUCUCGUGUUGUGGGUUCCUUAGAAUUUGAAUUCUUUAACAAUAUCAAUAAAGUAAUCUCAAAUUCACAUCAAGUUAGCCGAAAAAAAUGGAGUUUCCCAGUUCAAGAAUCAAAUUUACUGCUGCUGCUUUUUUUUUUCUUUUUCUGUUACAUAAAUUCGUGAUUACAUAAAUGGCUCAGAGAUGGUUUGAUCUAUAAGCGGUCUUUAAUUGACGAAUAAAUAAUAUAUUGCAUAUAUUUUCAGCAAUGACCGAUUAAAGAAAAGAAUUGACGAAUUUAAAAAACUUACAAGAUUGUUAAGAAUUUAAAAAAUAAAAAAAAUACAAAUGAAAGAGGCUGAAGAAGAUGGCUAGGGGGGCGGGGGGCGAAGCAGAGGGGAUGAUUUUAUUUUUAUUUUUUAAUUAAAAUUUGUUAUUAUUAGAAAUUAUUAAUGAAAUAAAUUGAAGUGUGCUUUUUUUUUUUAACAAAAAUUUUAAAAAUACCAUUUGGUAGUUGGUACUCUAUUCACGCUCCUAAUCCAAAGGAGAGUAAAUAACACUUUUCUUGGCACAUCAGCACUUUGUGCCUGAUAGGUAUAGAAUUGAAUGGGUUAGGGUCCUGAUAGGUAUAUACCUUAGUUGAGGGGUCUAAGUGAAUUUUUGGGACAACUUAAAUUGGCUGGCGAUGAUUUAAGCUUAAUAGUCAUCAUAGAUUUAGUUCCUGAUCAUCAGGCUACACCGGAUUCUUCCCUCCAUACUUAAAUUGUGCUGCUAAGGAGGUCUCGUUGAGGUAAAAUGUCAUUCUUAAUGUGGUAUAGUUGUUAGUUUAGCAUUGUAGGCCUAUUGGGUACAUGUGCUUUCGACACUCAUGCAUUCCACGCACGAGUGGACCGUGAUGGUUGAUUGAGUCAGAAGCUCUACUUCCUGUUGGCUAUGUUGUUUCGUGAAGAAAUAUUUAUGUACUCUUUAUCGCUAUUAAGACAAACUCUAACUGUUGAUGUUGUCACUAAUUGAUUAUCUAAUCCACAUAAAGUUGGUGUCGAUAAGCAUCAGAUAUUCUGCAUAUAAUCCUUAGAGUUAUCACAUUUCAACAACGGAAAAGGGACAAAUAUUCCCUCGAACCAUGAUAAAUGGUACGCAUAUGUUAUCCGUCAUACUUUGGGUACACAUAUGCCCCUACCAUUAAUGAAAUGGUACAUAUAUGCCCCUCACACUAACGGUAGGGACAUAUGUGUACUCAAAGUAUGACGAAGGGUAUAUACUUAUCAUUUCAACAAUGCCACUUUUGCAUUACCAUUGUACAAAUAUUGAAUGUGGCGACGCAAAAUGAAUUUUGGGGAUUUGAUGAAAUCAAUAAUUCCAGUAUAACAACAUCAUUGGGGCGGGUAAUCAUCUUGAGACCUCGUUGUAUCAAGCCUACAUUCAAAAAUCGUGCAAGCUAAGUAACAGGAACAAUCAAUUAAUGUUUGUAUUUUCCAGGAACAAGUUUUUUCUUUCCAUAGAGCUCUUUCACUAAAGGGUUUGCUGCCCAUUGAUUUUCAGCAACGCGAUUUGUAGGCUGGAAUUCAAAAAUUUUACCAUCCCGAGAUAAAACAACCUGAUUGGCAAUAUAAGCACAUCAACUAUGAUAAACGCAUAAAUAGUUACUAGUAAACGUUCACGACAAAUCUAUAGCCAUGCUCAACUGGCAACUAUAGUAGAGUUGAAAUCCAGGUGGGAAGAAUAAGUAUAAAAGGGUAGAUAAAGGCAUUAGGUGCUAUGGAGAAAAAAAGUAGCAAUAAUAAUAGAAUAUUCAACGCUUAAAUUUUAUAAUGCAGAAAUCUCGUGAACAUUUAUCAAUCCUAGGGUAAAAUGAUAAUCAACUAAAAGAGCGUAAAAAACAAUAAAAGUGGUCAAUAAUGCAAAGCAUGUGUCAUCCAUUUCAUGGUAACUUCUAAACACAAGAUACUUAUCUCCCCUCAUAUGAAGCAGCCAAUGAAGUAGGUGUCACGUCCCAAAAACCUCAUGCGCGUGACUGGCUCCCGCUAACAACACUUGUCGGGAGAACCAACUUUCCAUGCAUUCUCAAUGUAUACAAUACUAUGGGAUAAAAAUGUGUACAACUUCAAAUGCAAGAAAUAAUCAUUAAACUCAAAGUAAUGAUCCAGCAAGAUAUCGCGAAACGAUUUACGAAAACAACAGUAGUUUAGGUAACAAAUCUCAAACCCAAAACCCACACUAGACCAUGGAGAAUCUAAAUAAAGUUACAUGAGUUCAGCUUUCGGGCAUGCAACCCAACAAAAAGAAAUAUAAGCUAAAAAUAACUAAAGCUGGAUGACAGCCUCCACGAACAAUGAGAAGGUUCAGCUUAGCAACAAAAUCCACAUGUAAAGAUCGUCAGCCACAAGUCUCUCUCUCUCUCUGCAACCAUAUCAGCAAGUAUGCAAGUAAGGAGUGAGCUAUAUAACUAUAACCCAGUAAGAUCCUCGGCUUGCUACUUUAAGUACUCCUGGGACAAGUAUUAGAAAAUACAACAACACCAAGAACACAUAGUUAUUACACACAAGAAGUAUAUCAUAAUAAGAUGUCCAACGAUACCAACAAUCAUUCCUCGAAAAUUAUAUAUCUCAACCCAAUUUAUACCAAGUACUUAUCACCAUUUGAAAUCAAAGUAAUUACCCAACUCUAGAAGUUCUGGGCCACAUACACAAUGUGCCAAAUAUCAAGAGUAUACACAAUACUCGGGAAACAUACAUAAUGUCCCGUAUCAAAUCAAAAAGCAUACAAAAUGCUAAGUAAGGCAUACACAAUGCUUAAAGAAAGCUUACACAAUGCCCCAACAAAAUUAGAAAGCAUACACAAUGCCCCAAUCUCACAGUACACAAUCAUAUCACAUCACAAAAUAAUUUAUAAAAGGAGUAUUGGUAUUCUUAAGCAUGAAGUAUAUGUGUCUGGCCUUGAAGACCGUCAAUUCUGCCAAGCAUACACUCGUCCCAACACAUGAACCGGGCAAAUAUAAAUAUAUCUUAUAAACAAAUUUGUAAAGAAAGCACCUAUGUGUCUGGCCUUGAAGACCGUCAAUUCUGCCAAGCAUACGCUCGUCCCAACACAUGAACCGGGCAAAUAUAAAUAUAUCUUAUAAACAAAUUUGUAAAGAAAGCACCCAAAGUUUAAAGUCUCACUUACCUCACGAAUGACAAGUUCCUCAAUCUUGCAAUGCAUAGUACACCAAACAAACAGCAUCCAAUGAUUUCAAUUUAAUAAAAAUAUUACUUAACGAUGUCAAUUGUGCUAGCAAAUGUCAAGUCUCAAUACUCCUAACCUUCUAGUUUAAAGUUAAACCUUAGUAUCUCAUACCUUAAGAAAUGGAUUAAAAAUUUUCUCUAUCCAACCUAAUUUCUCCAUAAUAAUUUCAUACAAAUUAGUUACCUAACCAUUUGAUCUCAUUAGCCACAAACAUUAUAAGAAACUCUUAAAUGCAUAUUCAAAACUCCACCAAUGCAAAGAAUUUGCAAAGUUGUAAAGCAAGUACUUUUGUUUUCAUAUUCAGGAAGUUAACAUAUCUAAAAUAAAUUAAUAUCAAUACAAAAUCAGGAGUCCCACAAUAUGAAUAUGAUCCCUUUUCUCUCUCUACUCAUUGCUCAAUCAUUACAUCAUAAAAAACAAUCAUUAACUAAUCAAUAGCUUCCACUCUAUCUCGUUAACUCCAUUAGGACCAAUCUUCCGAAAUAUUCUUUGUGUGCACAGUUUUCAUGCUAAAGAAUUAGGAACAAGAUGAGUACCUUAUAAAUAUGAAGUUUUGUAGGUGAGUGUUACUGGCUAAUGUUAUUCUUGUCACGACCCGAACCAGGGCCCUGGCCAUGACGAGCAUUCUGAACCAUGAAGGCCCGAAACACCCCUAUCUAUCUAGUAAUCAUGCACAUAAUUCAUAUGAUAAUAAGCUAUGCGGAAGAUACACAAUAUUACAGAAAACAUGGUCAUAAAUCAAAUGAAAUCAACAAAGGGGAAAUAAUUUCCCACAACAUCUAUAAACAUCUGAACAACCGUCUGCGAAAUCUCUAAUACAUGACUAAAAUAAAUUACUGUCUGAAAACUGGACAAGGUCCUAAGUAGACCCAAAACUACUAAAUGAUAAUUGAACUGACAGGCAUCAGGCCUUCCGAAAUAUAGAAGGCUCACCACUUGAUUCUGCAAAUCUGUCAAAAGAGAUCUACUGGUUAUCUGGACCCCUAAACUGUGACUCCAAACCUGGGAAGGAAGGGGAUCAAUACAAAAGUACUGGUACGCAGAGAAAUCAAAAACAAAAUAUAAUAUUUUUUUUCAAAUAUUGGUGAGAGCCAUUAUAAAGCAGUUUCAUAUCAAAUCAUUUGAAAACACAUGGGCAUAAUGUAAUNNNNNNNNNNNNNNNNNNNNNNNNNNNNNNNNNNNNNNNNNNNNNNNNNNNNNNNNNNNNNNNNNNNNNNNNNNNNNNNNNNNNNNNNNNNNNNNNNNNNNNNNNNNNNNNNNNNNNNNNNNNNNNNNNNNNNNNNNNNNNNNNNNNNNNNNNNNNNNNNNNNNNNNNNNNNNNNNNNNNNNNNNNNNNNNNNNNNNNNNNNNNNNAUAUCUUAUUCUGUAGGGUAUCAUCAUACCCGACUUGCAAGCCAUCAAUAUCACAUCAUUCUUUCAUGCAACCAUUACAUUCAUCAUAUUUCAACAUAACAACCCUCUUAUUGCAAGUCAAAUCCAUGACCAUUUUCAAAAUAUUUCAUGUGACGCUUGUCAAGAUGAUUUCAAACAUUUCACAUCAUAUGAGAAUUUAAAACAAGAUCAUAUAAAGAGAGGAAUUUCAUAUAAUUCAUGCUCUCAAGUGAACAUCUUUUCGGAAUACAUGCAUAUACAUAUAUCAUAUAUCAAAGCACUUCGGGACUAGGCCUAAAGACCAAAUCAAUAUCAUAAAACAUUUAAAAUGGGAUUAUAUUCAUAAUUUCAAAAACCUCCAUUUUUAAAACAUGAAUUUUUAAGCCCAUGAGAUUUUUGAGAUAACCCCACGUACCUUUAUAUGCGAAGAUGAUAGGUGUUUCUUCAAGCCUAUGUUCUGGGGAUUCCAAAUAUGCAAUUAGUUUCAAAAAUCCACGGUUGAAUCUUGAGUUGCUUUGGUUUUUAUUUUGAAACCCUAAGGAGAGUUCUUGAGCAAUUUUGAUGAAUGAAGGUGUAUUUUGGGGUAUUUGGGGACUGAAUUUCGUGUGUAUGGCUAAUUAAGGGUAGGAAAAGGACCAUUUUGCCCCAAAAAUGGAGUGUUUAAGUCACUUGAGUAAUAAUACAUGCGGCGCACACCUUAUCACAUAAUAUAGGUUGUGCGGCGUACUCUUAAUCGCACACAUUAGGUUGUGCGUCGCACACCUUAUGGCAUAAGUUAGAGUGUGCGUCGCACACCUUUUGCUGUACGACACACUCCACUUUGCAAAGACACAACUUCUUCCUCGUGUGUCAGAUUUUUACAAAAUUGGUAUCGUUGGAAAGAUAAUUCGAAUACCUUGCAUUUGAUAUAUAGUAGCUACUAUAAUUCAAUAUAUACAAAUAGUAAUGGUCGAUUGAAGUUGUCCUAAGUCUCAACGCUCACUAAAAUUCAAACGAUAGGAAAACUUUCAACUUGUCCUUGAGCUUGGGGACCUCUAUAAUCUCAAUUCAUGCUCAAAUAGGUUUCCACACUACAUAAUUUAUUAACACACUAAACUUGCAUUACAUUUUUGGAUUUUGGAACCUUUACGUGAAGGAAAUGAUGAUUUUCGUUCUCGUCCAAAAUGCGGGGUGUUACAUUAUCUCCCCCUUGGGAUCAUUCGUCCCCGAAUGAUGGGUAGGAACUUGUUGAAGUUUAAAAGUAUGAAAUAAUGCGGACAUGAUGUGCCUUCUAAGAAAGGACAUAACUGAUCUGAAAUAUUUAAACUUCUAUCAUGAAACUGAAUUCUGAGCUGACUUGGCUUUUCUUGCUUCAAGAAGUUGAUUCGUUCUGAAAAUUUAGGAUUCCCUUUAUAUAUUCAUGAUCCAAUAAUACAUAUUAAAAUUAGGAAUUGAUAACUUAUGCAAGUACGAAUCAUAAAACAUCAAGACUUAGAUCGUACAAGGUUAUUACACUAUCUGAGCUGAAAUAGUUGAAAAUUUUUAAGAUUAUACGCUGAACUCUUAUGCACCAAGUCAUGAAUAGAUAGAUGAAUCUGAAACAUGAUGCUUGGAAUGAACUGAACUCAUAAUUUAUAUGGAUGGAAUAGAUUAUCUCUUGGGAAUGGCCAUACGCAUGAGACUUCGGAUAGUAGUACUAGGUGAAAAGGUGGAAAAACCAUAGUAACUUAUCUGCCCGAUUGUUAAACUGAAUUAUAGACUGAAUUAUACUAGACACUUAUACUUAACUGGAGUAUCUCUUCAACACUCUCUAUAAAGAAGUUCUAGCAGUAAUAGGAAGCCAUGAAUCUUGGGAAUUGAAUACAUAAGACAUCCAACUGAGGGAAAUCACAACAUUUACACUACUCUGCAGUCUGGAAUAUAGACAUAUAACUCAUACACUCUGAAGUAAUAAAGGACUCUUCUCAAGUCCUUACACAAUUUUAAGAUGUUAUAUAACGCGAUCCGAAAGGACCAUACCAUUUAGACUCUAAACUUCUUCACUUGAAUCACCCCAGUAAUGUCAUGGGUCUGAGAACAUCAGAGUAAGAAAAGAAUUUCGGAUGAUUUUACUUUCAUAUGGACGUUACCAUAGCACAAAUUAGAUUAUGAAGGAGGAACAUUCUGACUCUAUUGCACGAACUAGAACAUGAAGAAAAAGAGACAUUCCUAAAUGCCUAGUAGCCUCCUGCUUAUAAGUGUGGCGCGCUACACACCCAUAAACAAAACUCUACCUAACGCGAUUUCGCAGACACCCUGGGACUAUAAACCUUGCUCUAAUAUGAAGUUUUUCACGACCCGAACUGGGGCCCUGACCGUGACGAGCAUUCCGAACCAUAAAGUCCUGAAAUACCCCUAUCUGUUUGGUAAUUCAUACAAAUAAUUCGUAUGAUAAUAGAAAUGCGGAAGAUUAAAUAUAUUGUGGAAACAUGGUCAAGAAUCAUAUGAAAUCAAUAAUGGGGAAUAGUGCCCCCAAAUCUCUAUCAACAUCUAAAAAAUCGUCCGCAAAAUCUCUACUACAUAAUUGAAGCAAAUAACUAUCUGAAAACUAGGACAAGGCCCCUAGUAGACCCAAAACUAAUAAAUAAUAAACAAACUGGCAGACAUCAGGCCUUCUGAAAUAUAGAAGGCUCACCACUUGAUUCUACAAACUUGUCGGAAGAGAUCUACUAGUUAUCUAGACCCCUAGACUAUUCCUCCAAACCUGAGAGGGAAGGGGGUCAAUACAAAAGUACUGGUACGCUGAGAAAUCAAAACAAAAUAUAAUAUUUUUUUAACCAAAUAUAGGUGAGAGCCAUUAUAAAGCAAUUUCAUAUCAAAUCAUUUGAAAACACAUGGGCAUAAUACAAUAGUUUUUCAACAACGAUGCUAUGCGGCUAAGCUAGGUGGAAUACCCUACAUAAUUUACACCAACUGUCAAACCUCGGUUCCCACCGAGAUUAGAGUAUAAGUAAGGGAAAGACACACAAGAUCACACAGCAGGGUGUCCCAACCUAAUAAAGUAUAGUAGUGCCCAAGAUCACUUAACCUGGACUCCUAACCAUAGUGCCAAUUAGGGAAUGACAUAAAGUCAGGUACACAAGAUCACUUAGCCAGGUACCAAGUUCCUGUGUCGGCAAACACGGUUUCCAGUGAUGAUCCCUUACACUCAAACACCUUCUUCGGAUAUCCACCUAUCUCGUAUAAAAUGAAUGCAUUCAACUCCCUUUAAUUCAACCACAUAUCUUAUUCAAUAGGGUAUCGUGAUACCCGACUUGCAAGCCAUCAAUAUCAUAUCAUUCUUUCAUGCAACCAUUAUAUUCAUCAUAUAUCAACAUAUACAACUCUCUCAUGGCAAGUCAAAAUCAUGCCCAAAUCAUAACAAUGUUCAAAACAUUUCAUGUCAUGAUUGACAAUAUGCUUUCAAACAGUUCACAUCAUAUGAAAAUAUAAAAUAAAAUCACAUCAAGAGAGGAAUUUCGUAUAAUUCAUGCUCUCAAGUUCACAUCCUUUCAAAAUACAUGCAUAUACAUAUAUCAUAUAUCAAAUCACUUCGGAAAUAGGCCUAAAGACCAAAUCAAUAUUAUAGAAACGUUUAAAACGUGAUUAUAUACAUAAUUUUCAAAACCCCCAUUUUUAAACAUGAAUUUUAAAGCCCAUGAGAUUUUUGAAAUAACCCGACGUACCUCUAUAUGCGAAGAUGAUAGGUGUUUCUUCAAGCCUACGUUCUGGGGAUUCCAAAUAUGCAAUUAGUUUUAAAAAUCCACGGUUGAAUCUUGAGUUGCUUGGGUUUUUAUUUUGAAACCCCAAGGAGAGUUCUUGAGCAAUUUGGAUGAAUGAAGGUGUAUUUUGGGGUAUUUGGGGACUGAAUUUCGUGUUUAUGGCUAAAUAAUGGUGCGAAAAGGACCAUUUUGCCCCAAAAAUGGAGUGUUUAAGUCACUUGAGUAGUAAUGUAUACGGAGCACACCUUAUCGCAUAAUAUAGUUUGUGAGACGCACUCUUUAUCUCACACAUUAGUUUGUGCGUCGCACACCUUAUGCUGCGCAACACACUCCACUUUGCAAAGCCAUAACUUCUUCCUCGGGUGUUGGAUUUUUUUAAAUUAGUAUCGUUGGAAAGAUAAUUCGAAGACCUUUCAUUUGAUAUAUAUUAGGCACUCUAAUUCAAUAUAUACAAAUAUUAAUUGUCAAUUGAAAUUGACUUAAUUUUCAACGCUCUCUAAAAUCCAAACGAUAGUAAAACUUUCAACUUUUCCUUGAACUUGGGAACCUUUUUGACCUCAAUUCAUACUCAAAUAGGUUUUCACACUACAUAAUUUAUUAACACACUAAACUUGCAUUGGAUUUAUGGCUUUUGGAACCUUUACGUGAAGGAAAUGACGAUUUUCGUUCUCGUCCGAAAUGCGGGGUGUUACAAUCAUCAAUGCCAUUUCUAGUUUCAUCAUCACGGUGCUGCUGUAUACAUGGUUCUAUUUGGGGUUUCGUUGUUUUGCAAAUUUUGAUCUUUCCAUAAAAUGGUUAGCCACCCUUCUGCUACCAAUGGAUUUCCCAUAUAGGGGUAGAGGGUAAAACUAACUAUCGACAACAUUCUGAACUUGAGCGCACCUAAAAAGAAAUUGAACGAAUUGGAUGUACUAAAACUAUAGUUCGACAGAUCCACAGUCUAAGGGUGUUAAGUGGGCCAGCCCGACCCGGCCCGAUCCGGCCCUUGUAACUAACCCGGCCCGGUAAGCCCUAGGGCUUUAGGGUUUCGAGUCCCGGGUCGGUUAUUAUUUUAAAAUGGGCUCAGCUAACCCGGCCCGAAUCAAGCCCAGUUCAAGCUCACCGAUUAACCGGCCAGGCCCGGAUACCUGUUUUUAAAAUAAAAAAUUGGGAUUUUGGGUCAAACUAGCCGUUGGCCCAAUGGUUAUAUAGCCGUUUUUGGAUCCAAACGGCUAGUUUGGGCCCAUUUAUUAAAAAAAAAUAUUUUACUUUAAAAAAUAUUUUUUAACCCUGAAAAAAAUUCUAUAAAUACCCUACAACUUCAAAUCAUUUUUCACAUAAUUUUUCACUCUCUCAAAUCUCAAUUCUCAAUUCUCAAAUAUUCAAUAUAUUUAAUUUCUUCACUUUAAUUUUUUAAUUUUUCGUUUACAAAGUACGAGCGGAAGUUUUUAAAGUCGCAACCUUCUGAUACUUCAAAAAUUUGGUAUAGUCGUUCCAUCUCUUACGUUUAAUUUUUAUUUAUUGUAUUAAUUAUUUAAUAUUUAAUUUUAUUAUAUUUGCGUAUUUUGAAUAUUUUUAAUUUAAUUAAUUUAUAUUAUGGAUAAAUUAAGAAACCUCGCUACUAAAGGUGUUAAAAUAUUUUGUCCUAGAAGCUGUAGUGGUAGUAAGAAGCGAAUUACUAGCGGUAGAGGUAGUUCAAGUAGUAGCUAUUCCCGUGUGCCUUCACCUCCUGUACCACUUGGUACACCUUUUGAGGAAGAGAUAGGUGUAGGAGCUCACGAUAUGGAUUAUGUAGAAGCUCAGAAAAAUUAUGGUAUAGAAGAAGAAAAUGAAGUAGAUGCAGUUAAUUUAGACGAAGAUAAUGAAAAUAUUGCUGAGACACCCGCAGUAGGAGAUGCUAACUUUAGAUCUGAAUCGGUUAAUCUCCCUUCCCGUCCUCCCAGUGCCCCAAGACCUCGUAAAAGAACUAGUGUUGCAGGAAAAUUUUUUGAACGUAUAGCAGAUAUUGAGGUGCAAUGCAAUAUUUGUCAACAAAUAUAUAAGCAUAGAAGUGGAGGCAAGCAAGGGGUACGAGUACGUUAAUGAUACAUAUAGCUGAAGACCACAAAAGAGAGUUAAAUAUUUCACAAGGUGGUGGAGAUGUUGGUGGGCCAACGCAAACUAGAAUGGACCCAGCAACCGGUCAUGUAGCGAAAAAGUAUAAUAAAUUGAGGGACUGGGAAGAAAUAGCUAAAAUGGUAGCUGUGGGUUGUAUGCCUUUUAGUUUUCCUUCUUCUGAUGCCCUUAUUCGUUAUAUACAAGCAAUUUAUAGUCCUAUGUUUAACGGUAUUCCUUGAACUACUUGUCGGUCUAAUAUUUUUAGACUUCAUUCACAAUAUUAUUUUUAUUUAUCAACAUUGUUAAAAAAUAUUCAAUGUAGAUUGUCCCUAACUUCUGAUCUUGGUUGUGCUAUAAAUAAAAAUGAUUAUUUAACCGUUACUUGUCAUUGGAUNNNNNNNNNNNNNNNNNNNNNNNNNNNNNNNNNNNNNNNNNNNNNNNNNNNNNAAACAUACUGGACAAUUUAUUGUUGAUUCUAUUGUUAAAAUUGCUGGAUAUUAUGGUAUCGAAAAUAAAAUUUUAUAUAUUACUUUUGAUAAUGCUUCUAACAACAAAAAUGCUAUAAAAAAAAUUAAAAUCUACACUAUCUCCACCCUUGCCUGAAAUUUUUCAUAUUAAGUGUGCAUGUCAUAUAUAUAAUUUAAUUGUAAAAGAUGGUCUUGAGUUUUUUGAGCUUUAUAUUGAAAAAAUUCGUCUUGCCGUUGGUUUUAUUCAAGGAAAUAAUCGUAGAUCGAGAAUUAAAGAAUUUAAAGUUAAAUGUCAAGAAAAUGGACUUACACCGAUUUUGAUGCCUGAGGAAAUUGAUACUAGAUGGAAUUCUACGUAUGAAUUUUUAAAAACUUAUUAUAAAUAUAUAAUUCCUAUUACACUACCUUNNNNNNNNNNNNNNNNNNNNNNNNNNNNNNNNNNNNNNNNNNNNNNNNNNNNNNNNNNNNNNNNNNNNNNNNNNNNNNNNNNNNNNNNNNNNNNNNNNNNNNNNNNNNNNNNNNNNNNNNNNNNNNNNNNNNNNNNNNNNNNNNNNNNNNNNNNNNNNNNNNNNNNNNNNNNNNNNNNNNNNNNNNNNNNNNNNNNNNNNNNNNNNNNNNNNNNNNNNNNNNNNNNNNNNNNNNNNNNNNNNNNNNNNNNNNNNNNNNNNNNNNNNNNNNNNNNNNNNNNNNNNNNNNNNNNNNNNNNNNNNNNNNNNNNNNNNNNNNNNNNNNNNNNNNNNNNNNNNNNNNNNNNNNNNNNNNNNNNNNNNNNNNNNNNNNNNNNNNNNNNNNNNNNNNNNNNNNNNNNNNNNNNNNNNNNNNNNNNNNNNNNNNNNNNNNNNNNNNNNNNNNNNNNNNNNNNNNNNNNNNNNNNNNNNNNNNNNNNNNNNNNNNNNNNNNNNNNNNNNNNNNNNNNNNNNNNNNNNNNNNNNNNNNNNNNNNNNNNNNNNNNNNNNNNNNNNNNNNNNNNNNNNNNNNNNNNNNNNNNNNNNNNNNNNNNNNNNNNNNNNNNNNNNNNNNNNNNNNNNNNNNNNNNNNNNNNNNNNNNNNNNNNNNNNNNNNNNNNNNNNNNNNNNNNNNNNNNNNNNNNNNNNNNNNNNNNNNNNNNNNNNNNNNNNNNNNNNNNNNNNNNNNNNNNNNNNNNNNNNNNNNNNNNNNNNNNNNNNNNNNNNNNNNNNNNNNNNNNNNNNNNNNNNNNNNNNNNNNNNNNNNNNNNNNNNNNNNNNNNNNNNNNNNNNNNNNNNNNNNNNNNNNNNNNNNNNNNNNNNNNNNNNNNNNNNNNNNNNNNNNNNNNNNNNNNNNNNNNNNNNNNNNNNNNNNNNNNNNNNNNNNNNNNNNNNNNNNNNNNNNNNNNNNNNNNNNNNNNNNNNNNNNNNNNNNNNNNNNNNNNNNNNNNNNNNNNNNNNNNNNNNNNNNNNNNNNNNNNNNNNNNNNNNNNNNNNNNNNNNNNNNNNNNNNNNNNNNNNNNNNNNNNNNNNNNNNNNNNNNNNNNNNNNNNNNNNNNNNNNNNNNNNNNNNNNNNNNNNNNNNNNNNNNNNNNNNNNNNNNNNNNNNNNNNNNNNNNNNNNNNNNNNNNNNNNNNNNNNNNNNNNNNNNNNNNNNNNNNNNNNNNNNAAAUUGAAUUUCUAGUUUUCUACUUUAAAUUAAAAACUUAAUGCUAAUACAUUAUUAAUUUACUACCAAAUAUUAUUAAUUUAUUAUAUUAAGUAGCCUAUGUUUUGUAUAUUUGUGCAUAGAUCUUCUAUAGAAGUGUAUAUUUAACGUUUACAUGUGUAUAUGUUUUAUAAACUAGUAUAUAAGUAUAUCUAUAUAUAUUGUAAUGUAUAUAUAAUGAAGUAUAUUUUAUAAGUAGUAGUAUAUAUACAUUGAAUGGUGCAUAUACACGUGUAUAUAUCUUCUAUAGAAGUGUAUAUUUAACGUAUACAUGUGUAUAUGUUUUAUAAAUUGGAUAUCUUCUACAGAAGUGUAUAUUUAAUGUAUACAUGUGUAUAUAUUUUAUAAAUAAGUGUAUAAGUAUAUCUAUAUAUAUAUUGUAAUGUAUAUAUAAUGUAGUAUAUUUUAUAAGUAGUAGUAUAUAUACAUUGAAUGGUGUGUAUACACUUGUAUAUAUCUCCUAUAGAAGUGUAUAUUUAACAUAUACAUGUGUAUAUGUUUUAUAAAUUAGUAUAUAAGUAUAUCUAUAUAUAUUGUAAUGUAUAUAUAUUGCAGUAUAUUUUUUAAGUAGUAGUAUAUAUACAUCGAAUGGUGCAUAUACACAUGUAUAUAUCUUCUAUAGAAGUAUAUAUUUAACGUAUACAUGUGUAUAUGUUUUAUAAAUUAGUAUAUAAGUAUAUCUAUAUAUAUUGUAAUGUAUAUAUAUUGUAGUAUAUUUUAUAAGUAGUAGUAUAUAUACAUUGAAUAGUGCGUAUACANNNNNNNNNNNNNNNNNNNNNNNNNNNNNNNNNNNNNNNNNNNNNNNNNNNNNNNNNNNNNNNNNNNNNNNNNNNNNNNNNNNNNNNNNNNNNNNNNNNNNNNNNNNNNNNNNNNNNNNNNNNNNNNNNNNNNNNNNNNNNNNNNNNNNNNNNNNNNNNNNNNNNNNNNNNNNNNNNNNNNNNNNNNNNNNNNNNNNNNNNNNNNNNNNNNNNNNNNNNNNNNNNNNNNNNNNNNNNNNNNNNNNNNUUUGUGUAUAUAUUUUUUAAAUUCUAAUGUAGUAUAUACUAUAUAUAUAGUGUAUAUAUAUUAUUUAACAUAUUUAUAAUGUAUAUAGGUGGGUAUAUGUAAUGUAUAUUGAAAGAAAGUUUUUUUCUUAUAUUUUUUACCGGGUUUGACCGAUUUUUUAAUCGGGUUUGACCGAAUUUUUAUGGGUUUGACUGGGUUGGGUUAAGUGGGCCGGGUUAGGGUGGGUUUUAAUUUUUUUACUGUUUGGCCCAGCCCGACCCGUAUAGCGCCAAAACCGGCCCUCAACCUGGUUAAAAUAGAAGGGUCAGUUCCUGGUUGGCCCGACCCGGCCCGUUUGACACCCAUAAUCCACACUGGCGGAGCCACCUUGAAUCUAGGGGGUUCAUACCCCUUUCGACGAAAAAUUAUACUAUUUUGAUACAUCCUUUUUAUACAAGAAAGACAAGGAACAUACUAAAACACACUCCAAAAACAGUCCACUAGUUCAAGAACCGAGGACCCUUUUGAAGACCCCUCUCGGAUUCAAAAAACACCAAUAAGAACACAUUGUAUUGUGGUGUUUAACACCUAAAAACAACCAACCAACAAACUAACAAGAUGGAAGAACAACAAGAUGAACAACAACAAGAAGUUAUGGGUUCACUAGAAACAAGAGGAACGAUUACAAGUUACAAGCACUAACAAGUUUACAAUAAAAGAAAAAAGGGAUAGAUAGAUAGAUAGACUACACGAAGAUGUAAUCUUAAAAAUCCAAGAGCCUAUUCCACUCUUGACCUUUAACACUACAUACAAUGAUUUACCUAUCUCUUACGUGACAAGAGAUCGGAUUCCACCCCUCAAGCACAAACGUUUCCAUACAAAAAAUUUUAAGGGAAAAAGUUCAAAUAUGUCAUCAAACUUUGAGAAAAAAAUCAUUUAUACUAUCCGCUUAAAGUUUGGCUUAUUCAUGCCAUUGACGUUACAAAAAAACUUAUUUAUGCCAUUUUUUAAAACUGUCUAGUUUGAUGAUUUUUGGCAAAAUCAUUUUGUACACGUGGCCAAUAAAUUUUUUUCACGUCUUUUACAAGUCAAAAAAAAAAUUAAGGGAAAAGACUCAAAUAUGUCACUAAACUAUCUGAAAUGACUCAUUUAUGCCAUUAAAAGUUCGGCUCAUUCAUGCCAUCAUUAUUGCAAAAUCAGCUCAUUCAUGUAUUUACUUUUUAACAGUGCGUGUUCAAAAACAUCUUUUCCACGUGGCCUUUUAUUAGAGGUCCACAUCAUUAAUUAAAAAAAAUCAAUAUUAAUUUCAAAAUAUCUUAGAACCAUGAAAAAGAGCCGAUCUAUUUUAAGAUAACCCGACCCGUACCGAUUCUACAACAACAAUAAUUUUUUCGGUCAGAAAAAACAGUGAUUAAUGUAUAUCCUUUGGUUGUUUCUUGUUGAUUCCAAAUUAUUAUAAAUUUUAUGCUUAACACAGCAAGAAUGAAUUGAAUUAAUAUUAGAGAUAAGCAUCCAGUACCUCCGACACACUUCAACUUCACAGGGGUCCUAUUAACCCUGAACUCAAUUUUAGCUUAUUUUUGUCACCCUUUUGUGCUGCCAUAGUACCUUUAUUAUAUAAAAUGAGGAUCACAUCAAAGGUGUCAUAUAAGAUAAAAAGGCUAACAAAAGGUGCCACGUCAGCUAAAAUGAUUGAUUAAAAUAAGCUAAAAUUUAGUUCACGAGGAUAAUAGGACCCCGUGAAGUUGGAGUGUGUCGCAAAUUUGUUCAUAGUUUAGUAGAUGCUUUACUCAUAAUAUUACAAUGAAUUUAUAAGAAAGAUGUUUAUGUUUAAAAUGUCACUUCCUUGCAUAAAGUUACCAAUAAUUUCAAUAUUACAAUUAUUUGUUAAGAAAGAUGCUCACGUUUAAAAUGUUUCUUUCUUUCAUUAAGUGCCAAUAAUUUCCCUCGUAGACCUUUAUAGGGAACAGGAAACUAAGUUGUGGGCUCCAAAAAAAUAAUUACAAAAAAGGAAACUUAAGGGACAACUUAAUAUUAAUAUGCUAUUUUAAUCUCACACGUAUUAACUGUCACGAUCCGAACCGGGACCCUAGCCGUGACGAGCAUUCCCGAACCAUGAAGGUCCAGGAUGCCAAUCUAAAUCUGGUUAUCAUGCAGAACAUCCAUAUAAUAAGGAAAAUGCAGAAAUGAAACUGAACUUUACGGAAACAUGGUCAAUCUAAAUAAAUCAGUUUAAGGGUACGAAAAAUAAGCCCAACAACAACUGGCAAAUGUCGACCAUAGUUUGUGAAAUCUCUACUACAUAAUCCAAUCUGACAUAAUAUCUGAACAACUGGGACAAGGCCCCCAGUAGACCAAAACCAUACUGAAAUAGUAAUUCUCCAAGGAGAUUAGGCCUUCCGAAGCCAAGAAGGAUCACCCACUGACUCUGCGAACUCUGUCUGUCUGUAAAAUCUACUGAGUUACUGGACCCCUAGACUGUGCCUCAGAACCAGAGAGGUUGGAGGGAGGAGGGGGUCAAUACGAAUGUACUGGUGUGCAGAGCAAAUCAAAAUAAUCAUUUAUAAUAAACAUAUGUGAGAGCAGUUUAAAACAAUUCAUAAACAAUCGUGUAGUAAGAAAUCUCAUGGGCAUUUUUAAAGGACUCUGUGACAACAUCUGAAACCUGAGACACUCUUUGUACUACUUCUGCGUUAGGUGGUAUACCCUACAAUUCUGAAAAUUCCACGGGCUGUGUGGAAACUACCAUUAACUCGAUAGCUAAGCCCCCAACCCAAGUGUGCCGCAAGGGUUGGAGUCUCUGAAUCUACUACGCCACACGGCCGUAGCCAGCGUACAAUAAUAAUCUACCUAUAUCGAAAAAUACAGUUUCAGGCUAAGAGUUACUUGAACUCACUCCCUCUUCGGGUAACAACCUAACCCUCUUUUAGGCCUUUUUUAAAACUCUAUCAAAACAUGCAGUAUCUGAAAACAUGAUCUGAAAACAUACUCUGAAAACAUAAUCUGAAAACAUAAAUUUGUCAUGGCAUAAAUACAUAUGGUAUCGUCAAACCAUUGACUUGCAAGUCACAUCUUUGAGCCAUUAUUAGUCCAUCAUAAAUCUCUGUAUUCAAGACACAAGUUUUGAAUCUCACAUUUCAAUAAUUCAAUGCAAUAAAUCUUUUUUCCCAAAUCUCAUGUGAGCACAUACAAUUCUUUCUCCUGAUCACAAGGUUACAUUUAUAUCAAGAAAACCUUCUCAAAAUUCCAAAUCAUGUUCAAAUACCACAGUAUUGUAACAAAAACAUCUUUCAAAAUCACAAACCACAAUCUUUAAUUCAAUGCAAGAGAGGGAGUUCAUAAUUCAUGCUCUCAACAAUCUUUAAUCUAAAAUUCGUACAUAUAUAUAUAUAUAUAUAAAAUCAAUCUUAGGAGUAAAGGCCACAAGACCAAAGCAAUAGUAGUAUUAAAACUUUUAGAAAUGCAUAUCAAUGAUAUAAUUUUCAAAACACCCAUAAAAUACAUGCUUUAACAAUUUCAAAGCCCAUGUAAUUUUUAGGAUAAACCUCACGCACCUCUGUUUCAGAAGAUAAUGGAUGCUUAUUGAAGCCCGCGUUCUGGGGAUUCUGAGUAUGCAAUCAAUUUCGGAAACCCACAGUCGAAUCUUGAUCUACUUGGAUUUUUAUUUUGAAACCCUUAUGAGGGUUCUUGAGAAAUUUUGGUGAAAAUAUGAAUGAUAUGGGUUUUUGGGAGCUUAAUCCCAUGUUUAAUUUGAUAGGGAAAUGGAAAAUUACCAAAACGCCAUUAAAAUCUCGAAGGGAAAACUGAAAAUGGCCUGGGGUGAUCCACCAGGCAUCGCGCGCCUUAGAGCAUCGCUCUAGGCCAAGCGUCGCCUGCUAUAUCGCGGGGGGCCUUCCAGGAAUGGGCGAUUUGCCAAGCGACGCUUGCAGAUCGCGGGGUCUCACUGGAAUGGGACCCCAAAAAUGCCCUUAUGCUCAUCUACAAAUCCCAAAACUCACCCAAGACGUACCCUUAACUCUCCCGAUCACAAUACAAUAAGAAAAUCUGGAAUCGAAGGUCGGGAAGACUGAAAUGUUUUAUCCUGAAGGUCGUCAGCUAAAAGUGAGUCUAAGUCUUUCAAUACUUAGAAAAAUUUUCAUACUUUUCAAUACUAAGUGUACUCUACUAGAGGCUAACACAUGCACGACUUUCUACGGGGUGUUACAUUAUCCCCUUUGGGAUCAUUCGUCCCCGAAUGAUGAUGCAGAAAAACAGUCAUGCAUGAUUUUUGAACAAUUAAAGGCAUAGAAGGUAAUGACAAGGAUUGUACCUUCCAUUACUUUAUUCACCGGAUCAAAUAAACUUGGGUAUUUGUUUCUCAUGUCAUCUUUUGAUUCCCAAGUUCCUUCUUCAACCUUCUGAUUCCUCCACAAUACCUUUACCGAGGCUAUCUUUUUGCUUCUUAAUUUUCUAACUUAGCGAUCAAAGAUUGCUACAGGAUCUUCUUCAUAAGAUAAGGAAUCCGUCACUUUGAUCUCUUCAAUAGGUACUACUAACGAAUGAUCUCCCAUGCACUUUUUCAGCAUGGAUACAUGAAAUACCGGGUGGACAGAACCCAAACUUAUUGGUAACUCUAAUCCAUAUGCAACACCACCUACUCUUCUCAUAAUCUGAUAUGGUCCUAUAAAGUGAGGAAUCGGCUUACCUUUAUUCCUAAAACGCAUAACUCCCUUUAUGGGAGAAACUUUGAGAAAUACCCAAUCUCCAACCUCAAACUCUAAAUCUCUUCUCCUAACAUCGGCGUAGGAUUUCUGACGAAUCUGAGCUGUCUAAAGUCAUUCUACAAUAAGAUUCACAUCUUCCAUUGCCUGAUGAACAAGAUCAGGACCAAACAUCUGCAUCUCACCUACUUCAUACCACCCUAACGGAGAUCUGCAUCUCCUACCAUACAGUGCUUAAAAAGGUGCCAUCUUAAUAUUGGAAUGGAAACUAUUAUUGUAAGAAAAUCCUAUUAAUGGCAAGUGAUCUACCCAACUACCUUUGAAAUCUAUUACACAAGCCCUCAACAUAUCCUCAAGGGUCUGGAUGGUGCGCUCAGCUUGCCCAUCAGUCUGAGGGUGGAAUGCAAUGCUCAAAUUCACUUGGGUACCUAAACCCCUCUGAAAUUGUCUCCAAAACUGUGAAGAAAAUUGUGUACCAUGGUUGAAUAUGAUAGAGACAGGUGUCCCAUGCUAAUAAACGAUUUCAGCAAUGAACAACUUAGCAUAAUCUUCUCCUGAAUAGUUAGUCUUGACAGGCAGAAAGUGAGCUGACUUGGUCAUUCUAUCUACAAUUACCCAUAUGAAAUCAUACUGGUUUCGGGACUUCAGAAGUCCUGUAAUGAAGUCCAUAUUGAUCAUCUCCCAUUUCCAUAAAGGCAAUGCUAUCUCUUGGGAACUACCUCCUAGCCUCAAAUGUUCCACCUUCACUUGUUGGUAGUUCAAACACUUGGAAACAAAAUCAGCUACAUCACGCUUCAUAUUAUUCCACUAAUAUAUAGAUUUCAGGUCAUGGUACAUCUUAGUAGAGCCUGGGUGAAAAACAUACCUCGAAGUGUGAGCUUUACCAAGGAUUUUCUCCCGUAACCCAUCUACAUUCAGGACACACAAUCUAACCUGAUAUCUUAAAAUACCAUCACCACCAAUCUCAAAAGACAUGACUUUCUGCUGACCCAAAUCUUUCUUGAUUUGCAUCAAGAUGAGAUCUUCAAUUUGCUUCUCCUUAACCUCUACACAAAGGGAUGACUUAGCUAUCUCAUGGAUAGUCACUCCUCCUUCUUCGAAAUCCACAAGUCGCACUCCUAGAUUUGCAAGUUGGUGAAUAUCCUUCACCAUUUCCCUCUUAUCCUUCUCAACAUGAGAAAGACUACCCAUAGAUAACCUGUUGAGGGAGUCGGCUACCACAUUCGCUUUGCUGGGAUGAUAGUGCAAGCUCAUGUCAUAAUCUUUCAAAAGCUCCAACCAUCGCCUCUGCCUGAGAUUUAAUUCUUUCUGCAAGAAAGCAUACUACAGACUCUUGUGGUCAGUAAAUAUAUCAACAUGCACACCGUAUAAAUAAUGUCGCCAGAUCUUAAGCGCAAAUACCACAGCCUCUAACUCCAAGUCAUGAGUUGGGUAUUCCGCUCGUGCACCUUCAACUGCCUAGAUGCAUAAGCUACUACCUUCCCAUGCUUCAUAAGUACACAACCAAGUCCCACACGAGACGCAUCAUAGUAUAACAAAAAACCCUCUACACCUUCGAGAAGGGUCAAAACAGGUGCAGUAGUCAUCUUAUCUUCCAACUUCUCAAAGCUAUUAUCACACGAAUCGGACUAAGAAAACUUUACCUUUUUCUGAGUCAAUCUAGUGAGCGGAGUAGCUAUGGAGGAAAACCUCUCUACCAAUCUUCGAUUAUAACCUGCCAAACCCAAGAAGCUCCGAAUAUCGAUUGGAGUCGUGGGUCUGGGCCAUUUUCUCACUGUCUCUUCUUUCUAAGGAUCCACUCUAAUCCCAUCACUGGACAUAAUAUGUCCCAAGAAGGCAAUAGCAUUCAACCAGAAUUCACACUUAGAAAAUUUGGCAUACAGCUGAUGAUCCUUAAGGGUCUGAAGGAUGAUUCGAAGGUGAUUGUCAUGAUCCUCCCCACUCUUAUAAUAAAUCAAAAUAUUAUCAAUAAAUACAAUGACAAACAAGUUAAGAAACUGAUGGAAAACUCUGUUCAUAAGGUCCAUGAAGGCUGCAGGGGCAUUAGUCAACCCGAAGGACAUGACUAGAAUCUCAUAGUGACCGUAUCGGGUUCAAAAAGCCGUUUGUGGAAUGUAUGACUCUCUAACCUUUAACUGAUGGUAGCCCGAAUGAAGGUCUAUUUUUGAUAGUGACCUUAUUUAACUGACAGUAGUCUAUGCACAUACGAAAGGACCCAUCUUUCUUUCGCACGAAAAGUACAGGUGCACCCCAGGGGGAAACACUAGGAAGUAUAAAACCUUUAUCUAGGAGUUUUGCUAACUGCUCUUUCAAUUCUUUUAACUCUACAGGAGCCAUUCUAUAUGGCAGAAUAGAAAUUGGAUGAGUGUCUGGCAACACGUUGAUGCCAAAAUCUAUCUCCCUAUCAGGUGGUAUCCCUGGGAGAUCUUCGAGAAAGACUUCUAGGAACUCAUUCACUACUAGGACUGACUGAAGAGGUAGACUUUCAACAUUAGAGUCUUUUACUCGGACUAGAUGAUAUAGAAAACCUCUAGAAAUAAGUCUUCGAUCUCUAAGAUAAUAGAUGAAGUGCCUUCUAGGAGCUAAGGAAUGUCUCGCCCAUUCUAUUACUGGCUCAUUCGGAAAUAAAAAAGUGACUCUUAGGGUUCUACAGUUUAAUAUUACAUAACAUGAUUAGAGCUAGUCCAUCCCUAAGAUAGAAUCAAAGUCAACCAUAUUGAGUUUUAUAAGGUCUGCCACAGUAUCCCGGCCAAGAAUAGACACCACAUAAUUUCUAUACACCCUCCUAGCCAUAAUAGAAUCACCUACAGGAGUGGAAAUAGAGAAGGGUUCGGCAAUAUCUUCGGGUUCAAACCCAAAACCAACAGCCACAUACGGGGUCACAUAAGAUAAGGUAGACCCGUAAUCAAAAACACAUAAACAUCACAGACAAAGAUUCACAACGUACUGGUGACAACAUUUGGAGAGACUUCAGCCUCCUGACGGUUGGUCAAAGCAUACAACCGAUUUCGACCAGUUCCCAUAGCUGAAGUGGUAUCCUUCUAAGAGGGUGGUGCAAAUGAAUUUGCCUGUUACUUGGCUCCUCCAACAUUACCCUUUGCUGCCGGACAGUCUCUCUAAAUAUGGCCUAGUUGGCCGCAUGAAUAACAUACCAAAGCUCCAAACUGACAUCUCCCAAGAUGAUUCCUCUCGUAUCUCCCACAGCGAGGGUAUGACCGAGGGUUCUGAGCUACACUUCCCUAGGAUUGCAUACCCUGUACUCUCGGCCCUUGGCUAAACUGAAAAUUCUGGGGCCACUGAUCCACUGGAGGUCUGGGCGCUGGGGCACUGGCGACUGAUUAUGCAUUACCCCAAUUCUUCUUCUUCUGCCAUUUACUUUCCCACUUACCACUUUACGGCUGACUGUGAUGUUGUUCUACAGUUCUGUUUCUCUUUGCCUGUCUGUCUCUUUCCUUAGCUUCAGAAAAUUUCUUCUUCUUCUCCUCUACCUGCUGCAUAUAGACUGACAGUCUAGCGAAAUCCAUAUCCCGAUUCAACAUCACUCCCUGAAAGUUAAGUGCCAAGUCAUCUGAAAGGCCAGAUGCAAAUUUCCUCAUCCGGGCUCCCAUAUUACUAGUCAACUCUGGUGCAUAGUGGGCUAGUUUAUUAAACUUCAAAGUGUACUCCUGGACACUCAUACUGCCCUGCUUUAGAUUCAUAAACUCUUCUGCCUUGGCCUCCCUCAACUCCAGAGGAAAGAACCGAUCAAGAAAAUUUUCCACAAAUUUUUACCAAACUGUGGGCUCAGCACUCUCACCUUUUGAAUCCUCCCACUCGGCAUACCAUUGAUUCGCAACAUCAUUAAGCUGAUAAGUCGCUAAUUCCACCCCUUAUACCUCAUCCACAUGCAUUACCUUGAAGAUAUUUUCCAUCCCAUCCACAAACUCAUAUGGAUCUUCCUCCACCUUGGUGCCAGUGAACUUAGGUGGGUUUAUUUUCAUGAAAUAACUGACCUUAGUAGCCUCAGACAUAAUAGAUGCAGACCUAAAAUCUUCUAAUCAUUGAUCCUGGUUAGCUACCAACUGUGUCAGCAUAUGAAUAGACUGUCUGAAUUCUGCAUUCGAAAUAUCUCUCUGACCAGUCGAGGGACGGUUGACAUCACCGUUGAGCCCGAGGUGGACUAGUCGGGACUAGAGGGAUUCCCGGAGUAGGGACAGGUUCUGGAGUGUGAGCUCUAUUACGGGUCCGCAUCCCAUGGGGGGGACGGACCUCAUCUGCCUGAGCAUUCUGAUCGAUGAUACGACAUAGAGACAUAACUAUGUUUCUAAAAUACAAGAGAUCAUUGAUUAGGGGAUAGUUUAGACUCUGAAGCAUGAACUAAAUCACAAAGAAGGGAAACAUUCCUAAACGCCUAGUAGCCCCCUGCUUAUAAGUGUGGCGCGCUACACACCCAUAAAUAAGACUCUCCCCGACACGAUUUCGUAGAUACCCUGGGACCAUGAACCGUGCUUUGAUACUAAGUUUUUCAUGACCCGAACCGGGGCCCUAGCGGUGACGAGCAUUCCCAAACUAUGAAGGUCCAGGAUGCCCAUCUAAAUCUGGUAAUCAUGCACAACAUUCAUAUAAUAAGGAAAAUGCAAAAAUAUAACUGAACUUCACGGAAACAUUGUCAAUCUAAACAAAUCAGUUUAAGGGUACAAAAAAUAAGCCCAACAACAACUGACAAAUGUCUACCAUAAUCUGCAAAAUCUUUACUACAUAAUCCAAUCUGACAUAAUAUCUGAACAACUGGGACAAGGUCCCAAGUAGACCAAGACCAUACUGAAAUAGUAAUUCUCCAAGGAGAUUACACCUUCCGAAGCAAAGAAGGCUCACCAACUGACUCUGCGAACUCUGUCUAUAGAAUCUACUGAGUAACUGGACCCCUAGACUGUGCCUCAGAACCUGAGAGGUUGGGAGGGGGGAGGAGGUCAAUACGAAUGUAUAGGUGGGUAGAGCAAAUCAAAAUAAUCAUUUAUAAUAAAUAUAUGUGAGAGCAGUUUAAAACAAUUCAUAAACAAUCGUGUAGUAAGAAAUUUCAUGGGCAUUUUUAAAGGACUCUGUGACAACAUCUGAAACCUGAGACACUCUUUGUACUACUUUUGCGUUAGGUGGUAUACCCUAUAAUUCUAAAAAUUCCACGGGCUAUCUAGAAACUACCAUUAACUCGACAGCUAAGCCCCCAACCCAAGUGUGCCUCGAUGGUCAGAGUCUCUGAAUCUACUACGCCACACGGCCGUAGCCAGCGUACAAUAACAAUCUACCCGUAUCGGCAAAUACAGUUUCAGGCUAAGAGUUACUUAAACUCACGCCCUCUUUUGGUAACACCUAACCCUAAUUUUAGCCCCUUUUUAAAACUCAAUCAAAACAUGCAGUAUCUGAAAACAUGAUCUAAAAACAUACUCUGAAAACAUAAUCUGAAAACAUAAAUUUGUCAUGGCAUAAAUACAUAUGGUAUCAUCAUACCAUUGACUUGCAAGUCACAUCUCUGAGCCAUUAUUAGUCUGUCAUAAAUCUCUGUAUUCAAGACACAAGUUUUGAAACUCGCAUUUCAAUAAUUCAAUGCAAUAAAUCUUUUUCUCAAAUCUCAUAUGAGCACAUACAAUUCUUUCUCAUGAUCACAAGGACACAUUUAUAUCAAGAAAACCCUGUCACAAUUCCAAAUCAUGUUCAAAUGCCAGAGUACUGCAACAAAAACAUCUUUCAAAAUCACAAACCACAAUCUUUAAUUCAAUGCAAGAGAGGGAGUUCAUAAUUCAUGCUCUCAACAAUCUUUAAUCUAAAAUUCAUACAUAUAUGUGUUUAUAUAUAUAAAUCAAUCUUAGGAGUAAAGGCCACAAGACCAAAGCAAUAGUAGUAUUAAAACUUUUUGAAAUGCAUAUCAAUGAUAUAAUUUUCAAAACCCCAUAAAAUACAUGCUUUAACAAUUUCAAAGCCCAUGUAGUUUUUAGGAUAAACCCCACGCACCUCUGUUUCGGAAGAUAAUGGAUGCUUAUUAAAGCCCGCGUUCUGGGGAUUCUGAAUAUGCAAUCAAUUUUGGAAACCCACAGUCGAAUCUUGAUCUGCUUGUAUUUUUAUUUUGAAACCCUUAUGAGGGUUCUUGAGAAAUUUUGGUGAAAAUAUGAAUGAUAUGGGUUUUUGGGAGCUUAAUCCCAUGUUUAAGUUUAUAGUGAAAUGGAAAAUUACCAAAACGCCAUUAAAAUCUCGGAGGGAAAACUGAAAAUGGCCUGGGGUGAUCCACCAGGCGCCGCCCGCCUUAGAGCAACGCUCUAGGCCAGGUGUCGCCUGCUAUAUCGCGGGGGCCCUUCCAGUAACGCCAGGCGACGCCUGCAGAUCGCGGGGUCUCACUGGAAUUGGACCCCAAACAUGCCCUUAUGCUUGUCUACAAAUCCCGAAACUCACCCGAGACGUACCCUUAACUCCCCCGAUCACAACGCAACAAGAAAAUCUGGAAUCAAGGGUCAGGAAGACUGAAAUGUUGUAUGCCGAAGGUCGUCAGCUGAAAGUGAGUCUAAGUCUUUUAAUACUUAGAAAAAUUUUCAUACUUUUCAAGACUAAGUGCACUCUACUAGAGGCUAACAUACGCACGACUUUCUACGGGGUGUUACAUUAAGGGACAACGUUAUACAUCGUAACAAAUAGGUACUUAGUUUUGGCAAACCAAAAUGUAACUAGUGUCAGAUAUGGGUUCUCCAGGAUUUGUAACUUUUGAUACAAUAUAUAUAGAGAUAGAUAGAUAGAUAUCGAAAAUGCUACUGCCAUAUCAACAACUAUUAUAUUUAUUUAUGAUUUCACAUAUAUAAAUCAUAGAAUAUAUAUAAAUUGACUUCUCACCAUUUCCCCUAUCAUAUGUUUCGACAGCUUUAGUGAAGAAAAAGUUGUGUACCCUAAUAGAUAGAAAAAUUAUCAAUUUAAAGUAAUUAUUACUUAAUCUGGAACGUUCAUCAGGAGACCAUUCUACGAACGAGAUUUAUUCUUCGUUAAAUAUUAGUGAUGAGCUUCACAUUAAUUUGGCUUAUGAUUAUAAUGAUGUUUCUUUGAGACUUAUCCUGUAUAUAAUAUCUCAAAAAGAAAUGUAUAUACACACAUUCUUACGAUAAAUAGACAUCCAUUUAUGUAUAUUAUUAACACAUCAUUGAGGUUUGGUCCUCAAAACAUCAUAAGCAAUAUUCGCGCAGAAGGUAAAGUCGUGAAAGAGUUCUUUAGCAAGGGUUUCUUCUUUCAUUGUCUCUCACGACGUUUUUGCUUCGGUUUCUUUUUCCUUUUCUCUUUUCGGGAAGGUGUGGGUGAUGAUGGUGGGAGUUUGCAUGUUCUUAUGCUUGUAGAAAAUUGUGGAUUCUGGAUGUAGCAGUUGAGUUGUGUAUAUUGAAUUCGUGUAAACAUAUAAGGGGUAUUCACUGUGAUUCUAGUUUUUAAUUUUAUGGCUUGUUUCCCUGUGUGUGAACCCUACAUGAAGAUUUAACAGUCCUGUUUAUGCUUAUGGUCGUGUAAUUGUCCACGUUUCAUCAAAGGUAAUUGUUGUAUUUUUCUUAGUCUUCUUGCUAUUAUAGGUACAUGAUAGUUCUCAUCUUAUAAGUAGGAGAUUGACGUCAAUAACUGAAAAGAAAGCAAUUAACGUUUUUUGUUCCUUCAUUAGCAAGGAGUAAAAUACUGAAGUGCUUCAUCGAAAACCAAUCUGAUGCAUUGUUAUUUACAUCUUUUAAAGAUUGGUUUGACUUUUGAAUCUCCGUUCUAAAAAAAUCAUGUUAUCAUGGUUUAGAUUUGUUUCUUGUGGUUGUGGGAGUAUAUAUUACUGUGUGUUGGUGAUCGUAUAUUUGAGAUUUGAGUUAUAAUUUGUGGAAUCCUAUUUCAAUUGGCAACGACGCAUACAUCUUAGUGUAAGAAUUUGGCAUCACUCUUCAAACCUAUUAAAACUGGACCGUUGAUUUGCUAACAAAUGGGUUUGAUUAGUUUUGUGACCUGAUAUGAAUAAAAAGUUAUAUUUAAGGUUAACUGAAGAUAUGAACUGGGAAGUUUUCUGACCAAGUUUAGGUGAGUAGUAACUAGGGAUAGAUGUACAUGAUGUUAAAUGAAAGACACUGAGGUGCAACUGCAGAAAUUCAGUAAACUUAUGUUGGUAAGGCUAAGUUUAUAUAAUUUGUUUGAAACUAAUAUUAUUUUCCUAUAUUUGUUGAGCAUAAUUUUACUUCUAAUUGGUUGUUUUAUUUUGAAUGUGUAGAAACAAUGCGUGGGAUCAAAUUUGAAUGGUGGGCGCCACAACUCAACUUUAUCUAUUCAAGCGAAUGAUGAAGAAUUUUUAAAAUAUUUUGAUAUACGUUUAUAUACAUUUGAUUUUUUGUCGAACUUGGUACAAAUUUUUAUUAUGUUGUUUUUCUAAUUAGUAUGUAAAAGACAUGGUUUUUUGAAUUUCAUUACAAAUCUCUGCGCUUCAAUUAUUUUUUAGCUAAUUGAUGCAUGUGAUUAUAUAUAAAUAUGUAUUUUUAUGUAAUGUGCUUAGUGAUGUAUAUAUUUCCAUCAAAAUAAUUAUUUUUCAAUUAGAAAUUAGGUACUAACACUUUAUAUGCCUAAUGCCAUUUCUGUAAAUUAUGGUUUGAACUAUUAAAUUUUAGACAAUAUUACAACACUUUAAAAGUGUGGCUAAAACAUGCUUAUACUUUACAAAUGUUGUUAUAGAGGAUGUAUAAAAGGCUACGAUUUUGAAGUGUGGCUAGUAAUAAAGAAAAGGCCAUAUUUUUUAAGUGUAGUUAUAGAGGUGCUACAAAAGGCUACGCUUGUGAAGCGUGCACAAUAGCAAAAUAAAGGCAAUGUUUUUUAAGUGUUGUUGUAGAAGUGCUACAAAAGGCUAUGCUUGUGAAGCGUGCCCAAUAGAAAAACAAAGGCAAUACUUGUAAGUGUAGCUUUAUCAAAUAAAAGUGUUGCCAAUGACAAGCUGCAAAGUGAGGCCUUUAUAUCUUAAUGGCCACACUUAUUAAAUGUAGUUGAUACGACAAUACUUGAAAAGCGUGGUGUUUGAUCAAAGGUUAUGCCUUUUUAGGCCACCCUCCUAAAAGUGUUGCCUAAAAUCCGAAAGUGUAGCCUUUGAUCAAAGGGCAUAUUUCCGCUAUUCUAGACCACACUUUACAAGAGUGGCAAUAGGACUAAAAUCUUACGCAAAUUGACCUAUUUAGUAAACGCGAUUACAAAAUAGUCAAGGAGUACUAUCCCUUCACCUUGUAAAUAUCCCUCUUGGUAAUUAAUAAAAUUCCUUUACUUGCCAAAAAGAUUCAUUCUUCACAUCAAUAAAUUAAUUUAACAAACAUUUGAAACAGAACAAGUUAUUUGGAACAAGAGUCUCCAAGAGCAUGUUCAACAUGCAAGAAGUUGAUUCCUGAUCUUCUCUAGUAUCCCUACAACAUCUUUCAUGGUUGUCCGUCUAGCUGGAAAUUCAACACAACAAUCUAGCGCCACUUUCAUGAUUGAUGCUACACAAACUAGCUUCUUCUUCAAGUGAUUAUCCAUUGGUGGAACCAAGUUGGAAUCCACAAAAUCCAUUACUGCAUCAGGAAGUAAAUAACUCACCCAUUGUUUCAAGCUAAUAUCUCCCUCAAACUCACUAGGCUUUCUCCUAGUAAACGUUUCCAGCAACAUGAUUCCAUAACUAUACACGUCACAUUUAGUAGACACCAAUCCAUCUUGUCCAUACUCUACAAUCAAAAAAUUAUUUAAAGAUGUAACAUAAUAACUUGGUGGAAAACGAGGAAGGGAAAAGAAAUGUUCAAAGCAAAAUCAAAAGACGUACCUGGUGCAAUAUAACCCAAUGUUGCUAAUGUUUUUGUGUAUAAAUCACUCUCAUCUUCACCAAGAAGUUUUGAAAUGCCAAAGUCGCUUAGAUGUGCAACCAUAUCCUCAUCCAGCAAGACGUUACUAGGCUUUACGUCACUGUGAAUCACAGGCGAUGAGCACCCAUGGUGAAGAUAUUCCAAAGCACAUGCCACAUCCAUCAUUAUGCUUAGUCUCUGCUUGAUGUCGAGGAAGUAGCUGUGAGAAUACAAAUACUUCUCAAGACUCCCAUUAGGCAUAUAAUCGAGAACUAAAGCCUUGAAAUCAAGAUUGGAACAACUAGUAAUGACUUUUACGAGAUUCCUAUGGCGAAGGCUACGCAAAACUUCACAUUCCGUGUCAAAACCCUUGAAUGCUGCAUCCAGUUGCAGAUUGAACACUUUAACUGCAAUGGCAGUUCCACUNNNNNNNNNNNNNNNNNNNNNNNNNNNNNNNNNNNNNNNNNNNNNNNNNNNNNNNNNNNNNNNNNNNNNNNNNNNNNNNNNNNNNNNNNNNNNNNNNNNNNNNNNNNNNNNNNNNNNNNNNNNNNNNNNNNNNNNNNNNNNNNNNNNNNNNNNNNNNNNNNNNNNNNNNNNNNNNNNNNNNNNNNNNNNNNNNNNNNNNNNNNNNNNNNNNNNNNNNNNNNNNNNNNNNNNNNNNNNNNNNNNNNNNNNNNNNNNNNNNNNNNNNNNNNNNNNNNNNNNNNNNNNNNNNNNNNNNNGAUAUAUUAUUAUGAGAAAGGUCUAGGAAUUCCAAACCUACCAUGUUGCUAAUUGAGUCAGGUAUAGAUCCUUGCAACUUGUUGUGUCUCAAAGAAAGGUGCACCAGAUUUUGCAAGCCUCCAAUUUCUCUUGGAAUUCCAUUUGAGAAUUGAUUCAUUGAUAGAUCCAUCCUGGUUACCGCCUUUAGAUUUCCAAUUUCUGGAGGUAAAGAACCAACCAUGUUGUUUGACGAUAAGUCAAGAACCACUAGAUCUUGAAGGUUCCCUAAGCUUGGUGGUAUAUUGGAACUCAAUUUAUUGGAACCCAGAUGUAUCUCCCUAAGGGAAGUAAUAUUCCCUAAACAAUUAGGAAGAGAUCCUGAAAGUUGAUUUUGACCCAAGUAAAUAUCACCCAAAUGCUUCAAGUUACAUAUAUGAUCUCCAAUAAAUCCUGUUAAUUUAUUGUUAGCCAAGUCGAAGCGCUGGAGCUUUCUCAAGUUUCCAAUUGAUGUGGGAAUCGAUCCAACCAUGUUGUUUCCGGAAAGAUAAAGGAAUAAUAAGCUGCCUUAGCACCCAAUCUCAUUAGGAAUUUGCCCUUGGAUUUUACAACUGUUGGCGACAAAUGUUCUAAGAGAUGUGGAAAGGUUCCCCGUGGAGGCAGGAAGCACGCCGUUUAGAGGAUUCAAAUAUAGAGCUAGAAAUGUUAAAUUUCUACAAUUGGUUAAGGAAGUCAGGAAGCUUAAUGAUGAGUCACUGGUUAAAUUGUUUUCUCCUAAAUUUAGUAACUGUAGAUGAGUCAAAUAUCCAAGAGAAUUAGGAAUCAAGCCAGUGAGUUUGUUGCUGGCAAGCUCAAGAAUAGUAUGUUUUGAAAAAUUGGAGAUGGAAUGAGGAAUAGUCCCAAAAAGAUUGGUUAAGUUGCCCAGAUAAAGCUCUUCAAUGUUGGGUAAGAUAGAAUCUAUGUUUGGUGGGAGGCUUCCUGAUAGAUUGUUGAAUGAAAUAUCAGUUGCUCUCAAUCCUGAUAUGUUGAAGAUCUUCAUAUCAAGAGAAUCACUAAAACUAUUAGCCGAAAGAUCAAGUUUCUCCAACUCAACGAGAUUCCUUAUCUCUUUGGGUAUUUCACCUGUCAACACAUGAAGAAAGAAUGAAUACAAGUGAGAUGAACUAGUUAGGUCAGUGCUUAUCUAUGUGAUUCAUGCUUUUGUUUGACUUGAUGGAGAAGAAUUUUGAAUUGUAAUUGGCAAUGGGAUAAGGUGUCGACAAGAACUCAUAAAAUUAUGUUCUAACUCUAUACUUCUGUUUCCUUCAUUUAUAUUGUUAUUGAUCAAAGAUUUGAGAAGGAUGUACAUAUUGGACUUCUUAAUUUAACUUUCUAUGGAUUUCUAUUGUGUAGUUUUGUAUUUUAUAUGGACUCAAAUAUAUAAAAUGAUACUUUAUUGGAAGUGUGCUAACUACUAUCAGAUCGUGUCUAUUUCAAAGAAUCAGUUUGGUUUUAUGCCUGGUCGCUCGAUGACAGAAGCAAUCCUCCUGGUAAGGGGAUUGGUGGAGCAAUAUAGGGAAAGGAAAUGGGAUUUUCACAUGGUGUUCAUCCACUUAGAGAAGGCUUAUGACAAAGUCCCGAGGGAGGUUCUGUGGAGAUGCUUAGAGGCUAGAGGGGUCCCGAUGCGUACAUCAUAGCUAUUAAGGACAUGUACGAUGGAGGGAAGACUCGGGUGAGAACGGAGGGAGGGGACUCAGAGCCUUUUUUGGUCGAGACGGGAUUGCAUCAGGGUUUGACUCUUAGUCCAUUCCUGUUUGCGUUGGUGAUAGACGUAUUGACACGGAGUAUUCAAGGGGAGGUGCCUUGGUGUAUGUUGUUUGUGGACGAUGUAGUGCAGAUUGAUGAGACACGGGAGGGUGUGAAUGAAAAAUUGGAGGUUCGGAGGCAAACCCUUGAAUCUAAAGGGUUCGGGUUGAGUAGGUUUAAGACAGAGUAUAUGGAAUGGAAGUUAAGUGAAUUGAGGCAGGAGGACGAUAAAGUGGUAAGGUUGGAUUCCCAGGAUGUUCGUAAGAGGGAUAGUUUUAAGGAUAUCUCUAACCAUAUCGGAGCAGGUUGGAUGAAGUGGAGACUCGCCUCGAGAGUGUUGUGUGACAAGAAUGUGCCACUAAAGCUUAAAGACAAAUUCUACAGAGUAGCAGUCUAUCCUUCUAUGCUAUAUGGAGCAGAGUGUUGGCCAAUCAAGAACUGCACAUUCAAAAUAUGAAUGUGGCGGAAAUGGGAAUGUUGUGUUGAAUGUGUGGCCUUAAUAGAGGGGAUAGAGUUAGGAAUGAGACUGUCCGGGAGAAGGUUGGAUUGGCGUCAGUGGAGGAUAAGAUGCGGGAAGGAAGACCGAUAUGGUAUGUGCAUAUGAUAAGAAGGGGCACGAAUGCCCCAGUUAGUUCGUAGGUGUGAGAGGCUAGCGUUGGAUGACUUCAGGGGAAGGAGCGGUAGGCCGAAGAAGUACUGGAGAGAAGUGAUUAGACAUGUUAUGGAGCAGCUUCUGCUUACUGAGGACAUGACCCUAUAUAGGAAGGUGUGGAGGUCGCGGAUAAGGGUAGAAGGCUAGGAUGUGUGCGUGGGUUAGUAAGUAGCUAGAAGAGCUCAGAUUUAGUUGGGUUAGUAACCCUAGGACUGUGCCCAUAGGUAGGGUCCAGGAUCAGGCAGGUUUGGGUCUCUUAUUUCUUAUUGCGCUUAUUUCAUAUUGCUAUGAGUUGUAUUUUAGUGUGUCUUACUUCUUUUUAUGUUAUGCCAUUCAUCAUGCUUCAUAUUUCAUUACGCUCUUGUCUAAUUUUCUCUAUCUUGAGGGAAGUAGCGGUAUGGACUGCAUACAUUCUAUCCUCCCCAGACCUCACUUUAUGGGAAUACAAUGGGUUUGUUGUUGUUGUUGUUGCUAACUACUACCAGAAGUUCAAAUUUACUGUUUAAAAAUUAAAAUACGCUCCUCAUUUGCUUUUUCUUGUCACACUUUUGAAGAUUUAUCUGUAAUUCUUACAUUUUUAUUACUCAUUACAUGCAUGUAUUCAUAAAAUUUUAAUAGUUCUAAUGGAUCUGUAAAAAUUAACAUGAGACACAUGUGCAAUGCACGUGUAUAUAUUGAGAGACACCAUUUGAAUAUAUAUGUACCUAUAAGCUUAUUUCCACUAAUCUGUAGACCUUGCACGUUGGUUAAGUUGCCAAUCUCCCGUGGUAAGAAUCCACUAAGAUUGUUCUGCGCCAGUGACAAAAGUUGCAGAGAUGAGAUAUUGAAUAUGGAGAUCGGGACAGAGCCGGUAAUCUGUUUUUUCUCCAUGUCCAACUCUACCAAAUUAACAAGAUUUCCAAUUUGUUGUGGAAUUAUCCCUGCAAUUAAUGUGAAAUAAAAUAAAAUUCUGAAGUAAUAAGAUACAAUAAUGCUAUUAUUCAUGAGAUAUGUAACGUACCAGUGAAAAGGUUAGUUCCGAGAGCCAAGAUCUGCAGAUUAGUUAAACUUCCAAUUUCACUAUGUAUUGGUCCAUCAAACUCAUUUUCCAAUAAACACAAAAUUUGAAGUUGUGAACAAUUUGAUAAGCUUGUAGGCAUAUGACCGCGAAGCUUGUUAUAAGACAGAUAAAGCCCUUUGAGUAUUGGGAGACCAUUGCAUAAACCAUUGGGAAGAUAUCCUGAUAAGCUAUUGCCUGUAAAUGCAAUGACUUCAAUUCUUGAGAUAUUGAAAAUUGUGAAUGGUAUAGAACCCGUUAGCAGAUUAUACUGUAUGCCCAAAAACUUCAUGUUGUGAAGAUUGCCAAUCCCUUCUGGAAUGUUUCCUUUAAGUGAAUUAAAAGUUAUAUCUAAAGUCUCCAACCUCGAGGCAUUCGAGAGUGACAGAGGAAUGGAACCUAUGAGCUUGUUACCCCUUAAGUGUAAUUCUCUAAGGUUUAUAAGACUUCCAAUUACUUUUGGGAUUUGACCCUCUAUGGAAUUGAAGUUCAGAUUUAAAGUCUCAAGUGUGGAAAUAUUAGAAAAUGAAGACGGGAUGGAACCAGUGAAACUAUUAUUCCCAAGAUUUAGCAAUUGAAGCCGGUGUAAAAACCCAAACCAAGAAGGUACCUCGCCUCUGAAGUUGUUGACACUUAACCUAAGAAACUUAAGCCGACGCAAGCGUGCCAUUUCUUGAGGCAAAUUUCCAUGGAAAUUGUUGCUUCCCAAGUCGAUAUAAACAAGAAAUGAGAGGUUUCCAAAUUCACGGGGAAUCUUGCCUGUAAGAGACAUGUUAGAAAGAUUCAAGGAAUUUACUCGUUGGCGACGAGAACCACAAGUGACCCCAACCCAUUGGCAAACGGACCAAACAGGAGACCAACUUUCAUCCAAGAAGCGAAAGGGGUCGGAAAUGAUUUGGGAUUUUAAAGACAGAAGAGCAAAUUGAUCUGUAGUAAUGUUGGUUUGGGUCAUGACUUAACUAGCCAUAAGCAAGAAGAGUGUUGAGAGAAAAAAUGUGAAGGCUUUCUCCAUUAUUGCAAAACUUAGUAGGUAUACUCUAUAACACGUGGUUUUGAGACUUUAAAUAGAAAUGAGGUCUCCCUUUUGGUCAUAUCAAUACUAAUACCACCAAAUCAACCAAGUCUUUCACAUCUCAAUCAGAAUUAUAAAUAUGGUUGCAGAAAAGUCCUCUAUUGAGCAAAGACUUGGCAAGUCAACCAAGUCUUGCUUUAGUUUUUUGUGUGCUUAAUUCUUAGGAAAUAGUCUUGCUUUCAUAAUUUGUAGAACUGUGUGGUGAAGAGUAGUUCCAAUAAUAUUCAAAUCUUGUUAUUUGGUUGCUCCAAACACUAAUGUCUAAUGCUGAUAGAAUUGAAGAAUUAAACCAACUCAUUGGUGUAACUGGUGAAGUUUUUGUGAUGUGAGCAGAAGGUCAUUAGUUCUAGCAGUGGAAACGACCUCUAACAAAAAAUGCAGGAUAUGGCUACGUACGAUAGAUCCUUAUGGUGAUACCCUUUCCUAGAUCCGAUGCAUAGCAGGAGCUUAGUGCACCGGGCUGCCCUUUUACUGGCAAUAAAACAAGAAGUUGCAUUGAAAUUAAUAAAGUUCCGUGGAGUCCAUAAUUGCAUAAAAGGAAUCAAAGUAAUGGUUACAGAGUGUUGAGGCACUUCUUCGAUGGUCCUUAUACGACUACCAGAGCGCUAUGAAGAAUUCAUUAUUUAUAUAUAUUUUAGGAUGGUGAGAGGAAGUGCAAAAUAAGGAUUGAUUUCGCAUAAGGGAAAGGUGCGAUAAAUACAUCUAAUGAAAGUUAUUAGCAGCAAUAAAUAUCCAUUUUAACAAAGAGUUCUAAAACUUUUACUUACAUUAAUUGAUUGACAUUGGAUCUAAUGUCGCUAUAGACUUUAGGACAUUUAUAAAGAGUGCUAACCUGCAAUCGUCUGCAAUAAUAUUGCCUCUAAAACAGUAUUAAGGGUUAAUUAAGCUAUUGCCUUAAAUAUCUUUUUUGUACUGAAAAGGAUAUUUGUUACUAUUUAUUUUGUAUGAUAAUUAUAUUUAUUGUAAUGCCUCGAAAUCUAAUCUAAUUAUAUUUAUUGUAACGCCUCGAAAUCUAAUCCUGAAACGUCACACGGUGCGGUAUGAACUGCGUACAUCUUACUCUCUCCAAACCCCACUUUGUGGAAAUACACUGAAUUUGUUGUCGUUGUAGGUUGUUACAAGUAUCCUGACAUUUCAUAUUGCAAGAAGUGGUUGAAACAUAAUUGCAUAUGGAGCCACUUCUAACUAAAAGUUGUUGUAACAUAAUUGCAUAGUACCACUUGUUGAAGUGCAUGAAAAAUUAAUUUUAUGUCCCUUUUCUCAAACGAUUAUAAUAGAAUUUUGUGUUCCCACAAAUUGGAGUCUGGAAGAGGUAAAUUAUACGCAGUCCAUACUGCUAUCUCCAAAGAAGUAGAAAGGUUGUUUCCGAUAGACCCUUGGCUCAAGAUAAAGGACAGUAAAUAAGGUUGUAAUGAAAUAAGAAGCAGGAUGAAUGACAUAACACAAAUAUGGAAUAAAAAUAACAAACAUAGAAAUAUGAAAUAAGAGAAAUUAGAGCACUACGAAAUAAGGACUAAGAAAUAGGGCAUCCAUCAAGUAGGAACAUACACACAGACCAAAGAUUACUAACACGGCUACACAAGAUCUCACCUAACCACUUGCUACAACCCACACACUCACACUAGCCUUCUACUCUUAUCCGCGCCCUCCACACCUUCCUAUCUAGGGUCAUGUCCUUAGUAAGCUGUAGCUGCUUCAUGUCAUACUAGCUGCUUCCCUCCAGUAUCGCUUUGGCCUAUCUCUACUCCUCCUGAAACCAUCCAAAGCUAGCCUCUCACACCUAUGAACUGGGGCUUCUGUGCCCCUCCUCAUCACAUGCCCAAACCAUCUCAAACUUCCUUCCCGCAUCUUAUCCUCCACCAAAGUCACUCCCACCUUCUCUCGGAUAAUCUCAUUCCUAAAUCGAUCCCCUCUAGUAAGUCCACACAUCCAAUGCAGCAUUCUCAUUUCCGCCAUCUUCAAUUUUUUAAUGUAAAAGUUCUUAACUGGCCAACACUCCGCUCUAUACAACAUAGUCAGAUGUGUUUCAUACAACGAAUGUUGCUUUAUAAUUAAUUGAAAAAAAAAAAAACCAGUAAGGGACAUGAUUAUGAUGUUCUACCAGCUUUGAUUAAAAAAAGGAAAAAAUAAACACUCACCUUUUUCACUUCUAAUCUGUAUAUAUUGUUGAAUAAACAUUGUAAAGUAUCAACACUUGUCCUCUUCAAUAAAUUUUCUUUUCAAGGUGUUCUGUAAAAUGGGUCUAAAGUCUGUGUUGUGUGCCCAAAUAGAAGUGAAAGCUAAUAAGGAUGCUUUUCAUGAUGUUUUUACACAUAAGCCACACCACAUCUCUACUAUGUGCCCUUUGCAUAUACAAGGUUGUGAGCUUAUUGAUGGUGUCUUUGGAACUGUUGGCUCCAAACUUUUUUGGACCUAUAACCUUGGUAAGCCAAAAAUAUUUUAAAAAUCCCUAAAAAAAAAAAAAAUCGUUCAAGUGGGGUCUUACUGUUUAUGAAAUCAUUUCCUUUAAACUAUGUUAAGCUUCACACUACGGGAAAAUUUGGCUAUUAAGCCUUUUUUAGUUUGCUGUUAGAUUUCUGUAUUACUUGAGCUAAGAAUAAGAGAAAAGGAAGAAAAGGAAGGAUCUAGAAGAAGAAUCUGAUUUUUACUAACUGAAAUCUGUUACAUUGAGUCUCUAUAGGCUUGCAUUUAUAGUGUUGUUUGUUAGCUUCAUGUGUCAACUUUUAAUUAUCAAAAUAACCUACUUUUAUUUUCUUAUUUGUCGGACAUAUAAUAGAUCUGUCGGACAGAUAAUAGAGUUCUUGUUUUUAAACUUGAACUAGCUGAAAUGAUUGUUUCUAGUAUACAGAUUCUUGUACCCGAAUACAUACAAGAUAACAACAAAUAGCAACAAGUAAAUCCGAACGAAAGGGAGUAGUUCCUCCGUCUCACACUAUGAUUCCUAACAUUUCUCUCUCCUCACUUUCCUUUCACUGCUAUCAAUUCAAUCAGGAAAUACUUUCCUCCAUUCUACCCAGAAAUGAGUAAACAGAGCAAGUAUUGACAGUUGAGUGUAAUUACACAGUUUGACCUAAAACUAGGCCUUCAGCUAGGAUUUAGAAUGUGAUCACAGUUAGCUGGGGAAAUAAUUAUCCGAAACCAUUUAUACUCCAAAUUAUCCACAAAAUUCCAGUGUCACAUAUACACCACACUAAUACAUGAAAGUUAAACAGAUGAGCAAGCAAACACAGAUAACAUUCAGAUAUAAAAUAUGUUUCAGUUUCCAAAUUAGGAGGGUUAAUGAGAAUUUUCAGUACUAAUCCGUUAUCUUUAGUUACAUAACAUUUGUCGGGAAUCCUAAGACAGACGAAAUUUACUUUGGCGCUGCAAAACGUAGUUUCAUGAUUUUAUCCAAAUCAACAAACGGAAUGCUACUUUUGAAGUGGAGGACAAAAUGUCAAUAUCAGGAUGUUUCUCGAAUUCAGCCAUAACAUUCCCCAAUGUCUUAUUACCCUCAUGAACCCAGUUUUAGCGUAUUUUUGUCACCCUUUUGUACUGACAAUGGCACCUUUAUUACAUAAAAUGGGGCCCACAACAAAGGUGUCACGUUAGAUAAACAGGUGACACAUCAGCUAAAAAAGAUGACCAAAAUACAUUAAAAUUGAGUCUAGAGGGUAAUAAAACCCCCGUGAAUUAGAGUGUGUUGUAAAAAAUUUGGCCAUAGUUCGGGGGUAGAGUAUUCAUUUGUUCCAAUUUAUUAGACACACUUUAACGUUCACGGGGUCUUAGACUCUUAGUUGACAUGACACCUUUGACGUGGAUCCCAUUUUUAUGUAAAAAAGGUGUCAUGUCAACACAAAAAAGUGACAAAAAUAUGCUAAAAUUGAGUUCAAGGAGUAAUAGAUUUCAUGUGAAGUUGGAGUGUGUCGUAGCAAUUUUGGUCAUAGUUGGAGGGGUAUUUUUAAGAUACGAAUAUAAAGUAAUUAUAUUUCAUAUAAUGUAGUAAUAUUUUAUCUAUAUAUGGAGUAUGCCUUCAUUCCUAUUUAUUUUGGCACAUAUUUUCUUUCUAGUCUAUUCCAAAACAAUAACACUAUUUUUAUAUAUUAAAACGAUUUAGCUUUAAAAUCCACAUUUUAUCCAUAGUAAGAUAAUUAUUUCGACAUAAACGUUUACAUCUUGAUGUUUUAGAUUAUAAUUUCGAAAGUCACUUUUUUUUUCUUUAGCUUUGUAUCUAAUUAAAAUAAUGUCAUAUAAAUUGAGACGAAGCUACAUUGCCUCCCUUUUUCGAAAAUUUCAUACUAUAUAUGGUCUAUGUAUAUCCAUCAAAUAUUAUGUAUAUUAACUCAUAAACACUUCUAGCGAAAUUUCUGACUUUUUCACUGUACGAAAAAAAAUAUAAUUUUCUGAGUAGUCUUCACCGAGUGUAGCACCCCACCCCCACCCCCACCCCAUUUUAGAAUAAUUAAAAUUAUCGAUCUCUUUAUCAUUUAGAAAAUCAAAGCAUGACACUCGCAAAUCACGAUUACGAGAGUUGCUACCUUGGCUAGGGCUAUCUAGAGACUAUGGUUGUCUAGAGUAGAGUCUCGGUAUCGGAAAAUCAAUAGUAUACAACCGAUCCCGUUGAUCAUCUAACUGGUAGGGCACGUGUCACAUCAGAGGCGAAUGAUCAGAGGUGUCCUCUAAUCACCACGACGAGGCUGGUGGUAAGCGAGGGAGGAUUUAGUAAAGGGAUAUAAUGUCACUUUAUACUUUUUUAGUCCCGAGUUGAUAAUUAGAGUUAGAAACUUCACAACUUCCUCCACUCACCUCCACGGGUGCUGACUAACCUCGAUUUUUCUUCCAUAUUCAGCUGAACUCUUAAGGUUUGAUGGUUUCAUUCCUCCAUAUUCAACUGCAACAGAGAAUGAAAUCCUUAGAGGAGUCAAUUAUGGAUCUGGUGUUGCCGGAAUUCGCGAUGAAACCGGUUAUCGAUUGGUAAAAAAACUCGUUAAUAUUUGACCUAUAUACAUAAUAUACAUUUUUUGACGAAUGAUAUACAGUUAAAUUCGUCCCACUUAUGAAAUCCACCCAUGUCACACCCGUUCGACACAUUAAAAAAUUAUACAAGGGUCAUGACAAGUAGAUGCGUCAGAAGUUCCAUCUAGAUUACUUCGCAAUAUAAUGUAGUUUCUUUCAAAUUCAUUGAAAUUUUAUGUACCUAUUCUUGAAUGCUCGUUAUGUAUAGAGGAAUAUGAUCAUGCAUGUGUAACUUUCUAAGAUUUUACACAUAUAAAACUCGUUAAUAUUUGACCUAUAUACAUAAUAUAUAAUUUUUUGACGAAUGAUAUUCAGUUAAAUUCCUCCCACUUAUUAAAUCCACCCAUGUCACACUCGUUUGACACAUGAAAAAAUUAUACAAGGGUCAUGACAAGUAGACGCGUCAGAAGUUCCAUGUAGAUUACUUCGCAAUAUAAUGUAGUUUCUUUCAAAUUCGUUGAAAUUUUAUGUACCUAUUCUUGAAUGCUCGUUAUGUAUAGUGGAAUAUGAUCAUGCAUGUGCGACUUUCUAAGAUUUUACACAUAUAAAAAUCGUAAAUAUUUGACCUAUAUACGUAAUAUAUAAUUUUUUGACGAAUGAUAGUCAGUUAAAUUCCUCCCACUUAUUAAAUCCACCCAUGUCAUACUCGUUCGACACAUAAAAAGUUAUACAAGGGUCAUGACAAGUAGACGCGUCAGAAGUUCCAUCUAGAUUACUUUUUAAUAUAAUAUAGUUUCUUUCAAAUUUGUUGAAAUUCCGUACCUAUGCUUGAGUGCUCGAUAUAUAUAUAUAUAUUUACAUAUAUAUAUAAAUUACUAGAAUAUAAAAUUAUUUUAAUCUUUAACGAAUGAUAUACAGUUAAAUUUGUCCGACUUAUUAAAUCCACCCAUGUCACAUUGACACAUGAUUUAAUUGAAUAUUCUUCGUGGAAAUUCGUACUGCAAAAAUAGUUUUUUAAAAAAUUAUACAAGGCUCACAAGUAGACGAGUCAGAAGUUCCAUCUAGAUUACUUUUUAAUAUAAUAUAAUUUCUUUCAAAUUUCAUGUACUAUUCUUGAAUGCUCGUUAUAUAUAUAUAUAUAGUGGAAUAUGAUCAUUCAUAUGUGACUUUUUACACAUAUAAUACAUGUUAAUUCCUUCUAUUUUUUCAAGUGAAUCUCUUUAUGUAUAUCGCGAUGCCUAUUGUAUCGACUUGGCCUUUCAUAAGUUGUAAACGUUCAUAAUAAAUACGAUUAUUAUAUGUUGUUGAUUCAACACACUUUUUAGUUACAUUCUCUUGUAACAUACGAGAAAUGCAGGUUCAAAAUUCAGGUAUGAUAUUUUUCGAUUUUUGUAUCUCCUUAUCAAAAUGCUGACUCCGCCAUUACUUUCAUUUAUUGUUAAUGUUAUAUUAAUUCAAUUGAAAUACCAUAUUGUGUACAUUUUCAUUUCAAUUGACACUCCUUUCGUGGAAAAAUUACACUGUCCAUCUUGAUUAAAAAAGAUAUUUUCUUUAAUGUGUAUAGAGUAAAGCAUCUAGUACCCCCUUUUGAACUAGCUAUGACCAAAUUUGCAACGACACACUUCAACUUCACAGAGGUCCUAUUACCCCCAUGAACUAAGUUUUUGCGUCUUUUUGUCAAUAUUUUUAGCUGACGUGACACCUUUGACGUGAGUCUCAUUUUAUGUAAUAAAGGUGCCACAUAAACAGCAAAAAAAGCAACAAAAAUACGUUAAAAUUGAGUUCAGGAGGGUAAUAGGACCUCUGCGAAGUUGGAGCGUAUUGUAACACCUAUAUAUAUAUGGCUAUAGUUCGGAGGGGUACCCGAUACUUAUCUCAUGUGUAUAUAUAAACUACAUAUUGAUCAACAUAACACCCCUUGCAAGGCUCCUUCUGGGUUUACUUUUUUAUAUUCUGACACCUCGAUCUCCGUGAAAAUUCUGAUUCCACUAUUAUUAUACUUAUUUUUAUAUUGACAUGCCACUCCUUGCAAGGCUCUUUCGAGCUUACCUUUUUAUAUUUUGACACCCCCUUGCAAGACUCUUCUGAGUUUACUUUUUCAUAUUUUGGCACCUCGAUCUUCGCGAAACUUCUGACUUCACUAUUAUUAUACUAAUUUUUAUAUUGACAUGACACCCCUUGCAUGGCUCUUCUGAGUUUACUCUUUUAUAUUUUGACACUUCGAUCUUCGCGAAGCUUUUGACUCCACUAUUACUAUACUAAUUUUUAUAUUGACAUUACACCCCUUGCAAGGCUCUUCUGAGUUUACCUUUUUUAUAUUUUAACAGUUCAAUCUUCGUGAAAAUUCUGAUUCGACUAUUAUUAUACUAAUUUUUAUAUUGACAUGACACCCCUUGCAAGCUCUUUUGAGUUUGCUUUUUUAUAUUUUGACACCUCGAUCUUCGUGAAAAUUCUGACUCGCCUAUUAUUAUACCAAUUUUUGUAUUGACAUGACACCCCGUGCUAGGCUCUUCUGAAUUUACUCUUUUGUAUUUUGGCCCCUUAAUCUUCGUGAAACUUUUGAGACAUACUCGAACUUUAGAAGGGUCCUAUUACCCAUCUGGACUAAUUAAAAUAAUAUUUUUUGCAACCGUAGUGCCUACGUGGACCUUCAGUGUAUUGAUUCACUGAUAUGCCACGUAUGUGUCACGUAGGCACUAAGGUUGCCAAAAAUAAGGUUUUAAUUAGUACAGGGGUAAUAGAACCCUCCUAAAGUUCGGGUGUGUCUCUACAAUUUCGUAUAUAGUUCAGGGUGGAAACAGAGCAUUUUUUCAUUAUUAUACUAAUUUUUAUAUUGAGGUGACACCCCUUGCAAGACUCUUUUAAGUUUAUUUUUGUAUAUUUUGACACCUCGAUCUCUGUGAAAAUUCUGAUUCCGUCACUAUUACACUAAUUUUCAUGGAAAAUGACUUAUGUUACAGGGUGAUAGAAUCAGCUUGAACAAACAACUAUUCAACCAUCAAGUCACAAUGCUAAGAAUUACUACCAUACUUAGAAAUAGUACUGCAACAAGAAGUCUAUUUAAAAAUUGUCUAUACACUAUUGAUAUUGGCAACAAUGAUAUCUCAACAAUUUUUGCAACGAACAAUACUUUAUCCAUCAAGUUUGUUGUAUACACCAGAUAGAUUUGCAACCUUCCUUGUUCAACAAUUUGGAAGACAACUAAGGGUAAUUUUUACUACUUAUUUACUAAGUUUUAUUCGUAGAGGUCGAAAAAUUAGACCAUGAAAAUACGAUCGCACUGUCCGUUGAAGUUUGGACAGUUGCGCUACGCAUAUUUUGAAUAGACUCUGUGAGAACUUUUGAACCCUGCUUGCUUUAUCAGAAAAACUUUAGAGAAAAUGCACUGUUUCCACCCUAAACUAUACAUGAAAUUGCUGAGACACACCCAAACUUUAGGAGGGUCCUAUUACCCCGGACUAAUUAAAACCGUAUUUUCGGCAACCUUAGUACCUACAUGGCACAUACGUGUCCCUACGUAGACCUUCAGUGUGUUGAUUCACUGGUAUGUCACGUAUGUGCCACAUAGACACUAAGGUUGCCAAAAAUACGGUUUUAAUUAGUCCAGGACGGUAAUAAGACCCUCCUAAAGUUCGGGUGUGUCUCAACAAUUUCAUGGAUAGUUCAGGGUGGACUUUAAGAUGAAAAAUCAAAACUUGUUGAACUUGAAGUUUUUGUCCAUAGUGCAUGCAUGCAAGCCAGGUCAAAAGUUCAAAAUCGACCAGCCACCUCCAAGGUCAGUUUUGUAAAUCACCCGGCGCAAUAGAGUUUGUUCAUCUAAAUUUGUGAUGAAAUUGAAAUAUAACUAGAAAAAUUGUCAAAGAAAUCGACCAUUUUUUUCAGAUAAGCAUCCAGUAUACCCUUGAAUUAUGACCAAAGUUGCUAUGAUAUAAUCCAACUUCACAGGGGUCCUAUUACCCCCCUAAAGUCAAUUUUCGUGUAUUUUUGUCACCCUUUUGUGCUGACGUGACAUCUUUAUUACAUAAAAAUAGGGUCCACGUCAAAGGUAUCACGUCAGCUAAAAAGAUUGACAAAAAUAUGUUAAAAUUUAGUUCGGAAGGCAAUAGGACCCCAUGAAAUUGAAGUAUGUUGUAACAAAUUCGAUCAUAGUUCAGAAGGUACUAAAUGCUUUACCUUUUUUUCAAUAUGUUGGAUAAAGCAAUAGUAAAGGGAAAAGGGUUUUAUUAGUUGUAAUUGAUAAUUAAAUAAAUUAUUGAAAAAAAGACUUGGUUAGAGUUGGAUUUAUUAGACUACAACUCAAUAUUUAGGUAAAAAAACAAACAAACAGUGUUAACUGAUCACUUUUCGACUCUAUCUUUGAAAAAUAGUCACUAUAGCACGGAGUUUCAAACUCCACGUCAUUAUUUGAAUAUACCAAUUUAUUCUAUUCCGUCAAAUUUAGUUCAACGUGUUCAUUUCACACCACUAUUUCUAAUUACAUUAUCUUGAAUUUAUUAAAAAAAAAAUUUGUAUAUUUUUUUUUUUAGAUAUUGCAUGGCUUUGGAGCAAGGAAAGUGGCAGUAUCAAAUAUUGGUUUUUUAGGUUGUUUGCCAGAGAUUACCAGUGUAUUUGGAAGAAAUGCAUCUGGAUGUGCUGAUUUUGUUAAUAAUAAUGUUGAAUUAUAUAAUCAGAAAUUAAAGGUUUUAAUUGAUAAUUUAAACACUAAUCUUCCUGGUGCAAGGUUUAUUAUUUUAAAUCAGACUAGCAUUUCAACAGGGGGUCCACCUACUGGUAGGUUAAAAUAUUCUCUCACUCAUUAAGUUCUUCUGUUCAAUUUAUGUGACAUAAUUUUUGUAAAAUUAUUGGCAUAGCUCAUAAAAUUAAGAAAAAAAGGUUCGAAAUAUGCCUAAAUUUUGACAAAUUUCGUAGUAAUACGCCUCAAGCCCUCAACUUUACAAGGGUUUGAUGACCUCCCUAAAUUAUUUUUUAUAGUAUUUUUGUGGCAUAUAUUUGUCAGCUGGACCACUGCAUAAAUACACACGCACUGAGCGCGUGAGGGUGUGAAGUAGUUCAGCUAAACAAAUAUAUGACAUAGAAAUACGGUAAUAAAUAGUCUAGGAGGGUCAUAGGACCCCCGUAAAGUUGAGGCGUGUUACAAUAAAUUUCGCCAAAGUUUAGGUAUAUUUCAAAUUUUUUUUUUCUAAAAUUAAUGUUAUCUAGUUAGGAAGUCACGAGUUUGAGCUAUGAAACAACCUCCUGCGUAAAUACAGGAAGGAUUGUCUAUAAUUGCGCCUUGUGGCCCGGUUUUUUCCGAACCACCUAUAUAGCAGGAGCGCUUACACCAACCCUAAAGUCUAACCUAACCAUAUUGCCAACCCUAACCCUAGAACACUCUAAAAUAGAACCACAUUUGAUUGAAUUCUUCAUUUUGGUAUACACAAUUUUAGAAUCAUUUUAUACUAUAAUUGUGAGAUUUUUUUUUGUACCUCAUUGAUUAAGGUUAUAUAUAUAUAUAUAUAUAUAUAUAUAUGUUAAGAUUUAUGAUGUUCUUAAAACAUGUCAUAAUAUUUGCGUAACUGUAUGUUACUAUAUAUUAUCAUUGGAUAUUAAAAAUCCAAAUUCCAUCGCGAUAGGUCGAUAACGACCCAAACGAACUGGUUGUCAUUUGUUAGUCGCUAAAAGCUCGGCCGUUAAAAGUUGACGAGCGGAUUUUAGUUUAACCGUUAAAGAUCCAUUAGCGACGACAAAAAAUCAGGUUAUCAUGGUAAAGUUGUUGCCAUGUGAUUAGGAAGUCACGGGUUGAAGCCUUGGAAACAGCCUCUGACCUAAAUGUAAGGUAAGGCUGCGUACAAUACACCCUUGUGAUGGGCCCUUCAUCGAACCCUGCGCAUAUAUAGCCCUGAGCUGCUCUUUUAUGAAAUUGGAAUGCCAUCAGAUAAAUUGAAAUAGAGAGCGUAUCUCUUUUUUUUAUUCAGGUAAUUUAAUUAAUACUAUCAUUUAUUUUUUUUAAUUAAUUUCAGGUUUGACAAUUUUUGACCGACCAUGCUGCAAAGUAUUACCAAACACAACAGCGAAAGGACAAUGCAUUCGAGGCCAAAUUCCAUGCAACAAUAGGAAUGAAUUUGUGUUCUUUGAUAAUUUUCAUCCAACAGAAGCUGCAAAUUUGGCCAUUGCUAGUCGCUAGAAGAUCAUACACUGUUUUUGUACCGACCGACGCGUAUCUGGUAGACAUUAGGCGCCUCGUCGUACAAUCCUGAUACUGCCAGACAUCUCUACAACGUAACAUUGUUUAGUCGAAAAAAGAACUUGAAUACUAUAGUGAAAUGUUGUAAUAGUAAUAAAUCCUCUACAACAAGACCAGUUUGGUUACAUAAAUAAAGAUUGCCAACUGGUGUUAAUGUAGUUAGUGGGGGAAAAUUGGAUACAAAAUAAGGAAAUUUAAUGAAAUAAAUUUUCACUUGUUUUUUAUAUCUAUGCUCAUAAUUUACUUAUGCCAAGUCUUUUCUAUGACUCACUCAACUUUUCCUAAUAUGAACCUUGAGGCAUCAGAGCCUCUCUGACUCAGCCUGGCCCGGUCACCCUACGUGACUGGCUCUCCUUUCCAUAAUAUGAACCUUGAGUCAUCAGAGCCUUUCUGACUCGGUCUCGCUCGAUCACCCUACGCGACUGGCUCUCCUUUCCCUAUUAUGAACCUUGAGUCAUCAAGGCCUUUCUGAUUCUGCCUGGCCCGGCCACCCUACGUGACUGUCUUUCCUUUCCCUAAUAUGAACCUUGAGUCAUCAAACCCUUUCUAAAUCGGCUUGGCUCGGUCUCCCUACACAGCUGGUUCUCUUUUCCCUAAUAUGAACCUUGAGUCAUCAAAGCCUUUCUGACUCUGUUUGGCCCAAUCACCUACUCGAAUGACUCUCCUUUUCCUAAUAUGAACCUUGAGUCAUCAAAGCCUUUCUGACUCGGCUUGGCUCGAUCACCCUACGUGACUGGCGCUUCAAAAGACGAAACUCUCAAUCGUAGUUUGGUAGGCCACCCUAUGCAACUGGAGCUUCAAAAGACGAAACUCUCGAUUGUAGUUUGGCGACCUAUCUUUAGUAGGGCCUUUAGUCUUUUGAUUAGAGUAGGGGUUGCAAAAAAGGAGAGCAUACCACUCAGCCAUAGUCACUCAAAAAAUAAAUGAAAUGCCUAGUAACCGAACUACCAAGAUGUCAUAAAUGACUUGAGGUAGCUAUGAGAAAGAUAUAAAUGGCCAAAUAGUGCAAAAUUUAGAAAAUAAGCUGGAGUGUCAUUAAAACCUUCAACAUGGAGCCUUCCUCUUUUGAACGGUCUUAGAAUGAGAUAAGACAUAGAAAUAUAGAGUUUGCUAAAACUUACAAAUAUAGAAUCUAUACGUUAAAAGGAAGCUAAUGAUACCCAUAUCAUUUAUAUUUAAGAUGGGUCGAAAAUGAGUUAAAAAAAAUAGUCUAAAUGGAAGGACUAAAAUCAGAAUUUUAUUUUAGAAAUAUGUUACCAAGAUUAUAGGAGUCUAUAGUUGAAAAUUCAAGUGAAAACGAGUUAAAAAUGAGGCUUAAAUUGAAGGGGAAAAAACCAUUUUAAAGCUUUACUGAUAAAAGUUCUCGUAUUCUAGUUUGAAAUCAUUAUUAAAAGGCAUUUUCAAAGAUAUAAUCAAUACAAAAUGAUAGAACGAUGAAUUAGAAUCUUACCCAAGCAAGAAUAGUGAGGAAAAAUCGUAGAAAUCGUCUAUUCCUGAAGCUCCAAGGUCAAAAAAUGUUGGAAAUUGCGAAAAAAAAAAUCAUUUAUACUGUUCAGUGAAUAAUACUUUGUGAUCGCAAUUCCCAACUCGUGAUCGUGAAGGUCAACAUUCAUUAGAACUUAAGUUGGUCACCGUAGAGAAACACUUUGCGACCGCGAUGGUCAAACCCGACUCGGUCCAUCAAUUUACCUAUUGCGAUUGCGGUACCACCACCAUGCAAUCACAAUGAAGGAGAUCAUCGAGGUCUGCG
rnacentral:lncRNA from 1 species